rnacentral:lncRNA from 1 species
AUUUGGAUAGGAUUUGGUUUAGGGUUUAGGAUUUGAUUUAGGAUUUGGUUGGGGUUUGGUUUAGAGUUUGGUUUAGGAUUUGGAUAGAAUUCGGUUUAGGAUUUGGAUAGAAUUUUUUUUAGGAUUUGAUUAAGGUUUGGUUUAGGAUUUAGGAUUUAAUUUAGGAUUUAGGAUUUGAUUUAGGGUUUAGGAUUUUAUUAGGGUUUGUUUAGGAUUUAAGAUUUAAUUAGUUUUGGCCUAAAGUUUGAAUGAAGUCUAAUAGGAUUUUAACUAGGAUUAAAUUAAGAUUUAAUUGAUAUGUAUUUGAGAUAUAUUUGUGAUCAUUCUAAUAUUUCUUUAAUAUUUUUUAUUUUUUCAUUAAAAUUUCUUUGAAAUUUCUUUGAAUUUGAUUAAAGCUUGCUUAACAUAUUAUGGUUUAAUUAGAGUUUAGUUAGUAUUCUAUUAGAGUUAGGAUUUUGUUGUUGUAAUUUCCAUUCUACCUUCCUUAGCUAGGUGCCCAGAGAAUUCUCAAGCAAGACUUCAUGUAUUACGACAUCUCUAUAAGUCAUACUCCAUAAUUUUUAAAAUCUAUAGCAUCAACCCUCUUUGCAAUCAUAAUUGCCCCCUCAAAUGUUUGUAGACCUCUUAAUUCUACCUUUUGUUGGACCUUUAGUUUCAACCCUUGUACAAACUAAUCUAUCAUCUCUUCUUCUAAAAUAUUGUCAAUUUAGAGACAUAAGGACUUGAACCAGUGUCAGGGUAGAGAGAAUUUGCCUUAAAAAAGCACUGGGCUCCUAGCUGCCACUAAUUGCUCAAUCAAGUCUUGAGAUAAAAAGAACCAAGUUUAUAUAUAUAUAUAUAUAUAUAUAUAUAUAUAUAUACAUAACAUUUUUAGAAGCAAUAAAAUCAAAUAUAUAAGUCUUAAGUUCUCAAAAAUACCCAAAAUAUUGUAAAAAAAACUCUAAAUCAUCAUAUACCAUUCUAGGGUAUUAUUUCCAAACUUCAAAAACUCAUAUCUUCUAUUUGGACCAUCCAAACACACUCAAAUUUUACAUGAAAUACUCAUGUACUUCUAAAAAUUAUCGAAACAAAAUUCAACUAUAAAUUUAUUGUAGAUCUUAAGAUAUCACUAAAACCCUAACAAUAGCUUUAAACCCUAAUUUUUAUACACCUACAUAUAAUUUUCUUUUUAUCUUACAAAAAAAGCACUCAAAUGCCACAAAAUUUAUAUAUAUAGCUUUUUAAUAUAAUAAUAUAUCUUCUACAAAAGGUUUGAGUCAAAAAUUUGUAUAGAAACUUAAGAUAUGGCUAUAACUAUUACUAUGAACAAAAUUACUUACUUACUCCCUUUAAUUUGGAUGCACUGACUUCAACCUUCUAUAACUUCUUCACCUAAAUUCCAAAUUUAUGAAACAGUAUAUGAAAAGUAUAUUGAAGAAAGUUUUUUUUCCAAUUCUUAUCGCCAAACUUUUGUUGCUCUCUGUAAACGUAUGUUUUGCUCCAAAGAGUGACAAUAGGUAUGAAAUUAGCACCUUAACUUUGAGUACCAAUAAUUCCUUCAUAAAAACUCCAAAUUAUACAAAAUUUGCAUCUAAUCCAUAUCCAAAAACUUGAACUUGAUGACUUUAGCUUCUUAAGCUCAAAUGACUUCAAAAAAGAAACCCUAAUUCCUAAUUGGGCCUCAGGUAGCCUCUUUGAAGUCCAUUGGGUAUAGCCUUCGACCAAUAGGAAUGAAUUUUUCCAUUCCUGGCCUUUAUCCAACCAUGCCUUGCUUUCAUCCUUCCUAAUAAGUCUCCUACUAGUUAAGAUUUUCUUCUUUAGACUCUAAUCUCCUCUCAAGGCUUCAUACUAAAUAUUUAGGUCCUAUAAUUUUUUUUAAAUUCUAUAAUCAAAAUAGAUAAAAUUCAAAAUAAAUUUUUUUAUAUCCACUCUCUUUAAAUUAAUCUAUUAACCAUUCUAACAUACACCAAGACUUAUGAACAUAUUAUAUGUCCUAACUAAUUUUUACAUACUAUAAGCAAUUACAGUACGACAUCAAGAGGAAUAAUCUUGCAUUAACUUGGAAUAUGUGAGGUUAGCCAACUGAUUCUAUGCUAAUUUCUCUACAUUGAUGGAUCAAAAUUGAGUCUUAAGCUUGAUCUUAAAUUCCUCUUACUUACAAAAUCCAACUUGAGCUCCAUAGCUUUGAAUUCAAUGUCGCGACUAAUUGGCUAUUGUAUCUUUGAAAUAAUUAGAGGCAUAUAUAAUUUCUUUGUUGAAAUUUGUCUCAGAUAAUUGGAGGUACUAUUGCAUGCUAAAGAGUCAUUAGCAUACAUCUUUUUGUCUUAAGGUCCUUGAGUAUGAAUUGAGCUUGUUCAAUUUCAACCUAGUAGAUGUCAAUUUUCUUAUCUUAGAAGCUUUUAUUUGUCCUUGUAGAGUAGCUAUGUGGCCUAAGAUGUGUACUAUUUGAAUUUCCAUUUGGAAUUGUUUUUUCAUAUCUUCCAUAUUCUAAUUUUCUUGCUAAAUUUUACUAUUGUAAAUCCUUCUCUCCUUCCAAUUGAAUUCUUAAAGUACCACGUUGUAGCUCCAAAAUAGUAUGCAAUGUGAUCACAACAAUUGACUUUUAAAUAGAUGGUGGCUAUCAACAUACUACUAAGAAACAAGCUAAUGCUUGCUCUAAUAUCAAUAAAAUAGGACUAGAUUCUCUAAGAUCUAAAAUCUUAUCAAAUCCAUAACAAAAAAGAUCUUGAUACAACAUAAGACCAAAUAGACCAAAAUAAAACUCAAAGUAACUAAACAAAAUGAAACAUAAAAGAUAAGACUAACUAAAAGAGAAUAGUAUCAAAUAAAAUCAAAUAAAAUGGAAUAAAAAAAAAAAAAACCAAACUUUACUAAAAAAAUAAUCUAAAGUCAUACUUAAUUAAAUGCCCAAAUAGCCUCAGUUAUUACUAUUUAUACUUUAUUCAACUACCUUGGAACUUUCUAAAAUAUUCUUAAUGGUAGAUCCUAUCAAGAUAACUAUUCUUCUAAAAGAUUCUAGAUAUGGAUUUCACCACAAUAACUACCUUAAGCAUGUCUAGAAGGUUUUAUGGUAGACCUCACAUAAACCACCAUCUUAACCUCAAUUUUAGAAACUUCCCAAGAACAACUCCAACUAUAUAUCUUUAUAUGCAAAUAAUACAAAUAUCCUAUCAAUGUCUUAUUACUAUUGAAGAAAAGAAGUCUAAAAGCUACAAACACUUAGCAUCAGCAAGGAUUGUAAUUUAAGAGAAGUGUGGAGAAAGAUAUCUCUUACUUCCAACACUCUUUACUUAUGGGUGGUAGUUUGCUCACCAACGAGGCAACUUCUAUCCUUUUAAUAUUACAUCUAUUUCUACUUCAUCCAUCUAAAUCCUAGGUUCUUUCUUAACCUAGCCGCCACCUACAAACCCUUGGUGCCACCACAAUAACUUACUUUAACUCUUUGUUACUUUUUUACUAUUAGUAACAUACUAUACUUAAACUCUAUGUGGUUGUAACUAAGUAAGUACUUGCUGAUCUUCAACAAUUAUAUCUAAAGUCUUAUUAUAUCUAAAAUAUUCUACAAUUAAAGUAUUAUGUCAAGCUUAAUAAAUUUAUAAUUGUGCUUCAUGUUUUAAAAUAUAUAAGCAACUUUCAAAAUAGAGUUGAUUGUUCUUAAAUUCAAAAUUAGAACUUUUAUGAAAUUUAGAAGAAUUAUUCUUAACAUUAUAAAUAAAAAGAUUCAAAGACAUAUUUAAUUGGAUUUCAUAAAAAAAUAUUGAAUCAAUAAUCUAUGUUGAUUUUAUUAAUUAAAAAUAAAAUUUUUUUGGCUUCAAAAGAAAAUUCAUCGUUAAUCAAAAGCUAUAUUUUUUUUUUUUUUUUUGGUGCAAGAUAAGAAAAUCUAGAGAGGGCAUUUAAUAAAUUUUAUUAUUUUUUUAGCUCAUAUGUGAUGUUGAAUACAAAUCUUGACAAAACCAUGCUCCAACAAGCUUGCUUAUAAUUCCAAAAGCAUGUUAUACUAAAUAUUCAAGAUUCUUGUGAUUUGUAUAAAUUAUCAUUAGACUUAAAGUACUUCCCAGAUAAUAGCACAAUUCUUAUAAUAAAUCUGUAAUUGUAAGAAGUUUUUUCUUUUAAAUCUCAUACUUGAUUUUUAUUUUUGAAAACAAAUUUGAAUAAAAAAGCUAUUAAAUGAAGUUUUUUUAUUUACUUCUAUUUGUAACAAUAUUACAUUUAGAACAAACUUUAAUGUGUCCAUUUUCAUAAAAAUAUUUUUAAAAAAUCAUUACAAUACAAGAUUGGUAUAGAAGUAAAAGCUAAAUUUUAAGCUUCAAAUAUUGCUUCUUUAUUCUACUUAAGUUUGUAUUUACAUAUUAAAUAUGUAAAAAAAAUUAAAAUUUGAAAAAAAAAUUGAUUAAUAUUUGAUUUUAAUUAAAAAAAAUUAAAAAUACACAACUUUUAUUAACUUUUGAAAUCUUUCAAUCCAUAAUAAUUUUAACUUUAUUAGGAUUUAUUAUAAGGCUAUCAUUUAGAAUAUUAUAUCCUGAGAAAUCAACUUGAAUAGUAUAAAAUAUAUACUUUUCCAUCUUUGUAUGUAGUUAUGCAUUUUCAAGUUUUUAUAAUAUGCAAUCAACAUGAAGUUUAUAUUCUAUUAUUUUUUGAAAAUAAAUUAAAAUAUUUUCUAGAUAAUAGAUAAAAAUAUCACCUAAAAAAUCUCAAAAAAUAUCAUUUAUUAGAUUUUAAAAACUAAUAGGUACAUUUUUAAGUCAAAAAGACAUAAUGUUAUAUUCCAAAUGUCCAUACUUGAUUUAAAAUGUAAUCUUUUGUUUAUUUAUUUUUUUAAUGUACACCAAAUUAUAUGAGUAUUAUAGAUCUAUUUUUUUAUAGAACUUGGCUUGAUUUAAUUCAUUAAAAAGUUCUAAUAUCAAAAAUAAAAAAUAUAUAUUCUUUUUACAUCUAAAAAAAUAGUUUCAUAGGUAAUAUUUCCAAAAAACAACAAAGAACCAUCUUUGACUUCUAUAUGAAAAAACUUACAUUUUUUGACCAAGGAUAUUUUUUAUUUUUUAAAAAAAUAUCUAUUUACAAACAAGCUAAGGCUCUUAAAACUAAAAUCAUAAAAAAUAAAAUAAAAAAAUUGAUCCUAAAAAAUCAUCUAUUAUAAAAUAAGGUAAUGGAUUUGAAAAAAGAAUAGGACCUUUAUUAGAUGUUACAUAAGAUUUCAACUCUACAAUCUUUAUUAUAGCCAAAAAAAUUUAUUUUUUGAUAUAUUGUCUUUUUUGGCAACCAUACUCUUUAUUUUGUAAUUUGUUUUCUUCUUAAAAUAAUAUUGAAUAAUAUAUUUAGAUUCACUACAACAUGAAUAUAAUUUAUCUUAAUGACAUCUAGUCUUUUUUUACUCAAUAACACGUUUAAAACUUAUCAUAUCAAAUUACAUAGGUUUUUGCCUUCAUGAAGAAGUUAUUAAAAUUUUAGAAAUUAUUGCCAUAACUUGAUUUUUUCUUCUCCAAUAAAAUCUUUAUUCUAAGCAUCUUUCAAAAAGUUAAUUUUUGUAAGCAAUGGUUUGAAUAAUAAAUUAUUCCAAUGAAUAUAUUUUUUGUAUUAUCAAUAAUAAAUCUUUAAUAUAUAAAUCUUUAAUCCAUAUCAAAAUUUAUUAAUAAAGAAUUUAUUAUUUCAAUCCAUGUUAUAAGCAAGGUUUUAGAAUUCAACAAUAUGUGGUAGCUAAACAUGAUUCUUAUUGUAAAAAUAAAAAUUUGAUUUCUAUUAUUCUUUCUUGAUCAUUUUUUUUAAAUGUGGCCAUUAAUACUUUUAAUAAUAAAUUUAGAUCAUAGAAGGAUCAUGCAUCUUUUUCUAUCAAAGGUACAAAUUAAGAAAGAACAUUUCUAGAUAGAAGUGUGCCUAUGAAUCCAACUUGAUAAAUACAAAUUGAAUAAAUCCAUCAAGGUAUUGGAAAUGAUGCAAGCUUAAAUAGAACUUGAUUUAUUAAAAAGUAUUUGAAAUUUUGAUCUUUUUCUAUUAAACUUCUUUGACAUACUAAUCAUUGGUUCUUUCAUACUUGUAAUAAGAAAACUUCUUAAAUUCAAUUAUAAAAUUAAUCUACUUACUUCUUUUAACUAUAUAACUUUUUAAUAUAGAUAUCAAAUUCAUUAUUAAUUUUCAUGAUAAAUAUAGGAAUUAGAUAUUAAAGAUUGAUAUUAGUAAUAUAAAAGAUUUCUACCUUGAAAGAUUGACAAGUUUAUGAAGAUUUGUAAUAGUUACAAAUCUAUUAUCACUUUUAUCAAAUAUAGCAUCUUAAUUUUUACUUAUAUUUUUAUAAUAGAUGACUUUAAUAAAUCCACAAGUCAAAUUCAAGGAGUAUCUUAAAUAUACAUAUUUAUUUUGAUAUUUAUCUAUAUAAUUAAGUAGAAAUAGGUAAAAGUAGAUUUAAUUUAUAAUAUUUUUUAGAGAAGCUUCGUAAAAGCUUCAUAGAUGUUAUUUCGACUUUACAUAUAUUUAUAAUUGAUUGAUAGGAUAGAAACUUGGUCAAUAAGUUAAUCACGUAUUAGUAGGUUGUAGAACUAGCUAAGUAUAUGGCAUACAUAUAAAAUACUUAGCUUACAAGUUAAGCUACGUGACUUCCAAAGUCAACACAUUUUGUAGGUCUUAUAAGACAUUGCCACAUAGCUUCUAGUUUAGAUCAUUUCUAGAGAUAAAAGGGAAGCCUUUUUUAGUCUUCUCAAUGCCUUUUUAGUUUUUAGUCUUAUUUCAAGACUUUCUAGUCUUUUUGUCUUUGACAAUAGUCAUUCUAGUUCAAUAUAUUAUCCUCUUUAAGUAAUUUUUUAGUCUUUUUGAGUGACAUAAGGAUGUAUUACUAUUUUAAUUCUUUGAGGUUUGUAUCCUUUAGAGUUUGACAAAAGUGCUAAUUUAUUAUUUUGUAUUAUUUUAUAAGUGAAUUAUUCUAUUUCUAUUAUUAUAUUUUGAAGGUUGUAGAUUAUUUAUCUUUAAAUAAAUAAUUUAUUUUUUUAAUACUAAUUUUUUUUCUUAAAAAAAGUGCAUUAUCCCUCAUAGUAGAAAUUUUCAUUCAAUAUUAGAGGUUGUGAAUUACCUUCUUUUAAUUUAACUUGUAGAUUUAUUAAGUUAUUUGAAAUAGAAGAAAAAAUCAUGGAUACUAUACUUGGUAGAAAAGAAAAUAGAUUUUUAACUAUUUUAGAUCUUUACAAACUUGUCAACACUCUUAAAAUAGAAAUUUUAUACAUUACCAAUGUAAACUAUAAGAAUACUAAUCCUAUGCCUAUAGAAGAAGUUCAAAAUCUAUAGUAAGAAAUUGUGCAAUUGAAGGAAGCAAGUAGAUCAACCUUACAACCAAAUCUAAGAAGUUUUCCUUCUACAAGUACAAAGAAGAUACACAUUAGUAUGCCCAAUAAGUUUGAUAGAACAAGUUCAAAAUUUUGAAGAUUUUUGCAACAAGUUGAGUUUUAUUUAAGGUUGCAUUCUUUCUAAUACUUUGAUGGAUUUAAUUUGAUGAAUCAUUGGAAUUUAAUACUUAAUAAAGGUCUUAUUUUCUCUUUAAAUUCCUCACCUCAUUUUAUAAUAGAUAUGUAUUUAGUACCUAAAAAUUAUAAAGUCUUUAUAUUAUUAGAUUUAAGAGCCUCAUUUUAUUUUAUAAAUAAAAUCUUUAUUAAAAAAAUAUAUAUCUUUAAAUAAGAAAACUAAAUCUAUACAUGUAGAAGUCAUGGAUGGUUGUUAGUUUUCUUUUAAAGACAUUAUUUAUAAGAUUGUUCCUUUAGAUGUAGCAAUUAAAGAUCAUAAUAGUAUAAUAAUAUUUAAUGUGAUAAGAUCUCCUUCUAAUCUAAUUAUUUUAAGAUUAUCAUAAUUAAAAAAAUAAAAUCCAUAGAUAGAUUGGAUUUCUUGUAAUCUUAAUUUUUUUUAUAGUUUAAUCCAAAAUUUUAAUAGUGAAGUAAAAAUAUAUAAGCUUAGUACAUCCAAACUCUUAUUGAUAGGUACAAGAACUUUCAUGCAUGCAACAAGAAAAGGUCAUAUUUUGUUAUAUAUGCCACAUCUCUUUUUGAUGGUGGAAAGAUGUCAAGUGAUAUUUCUAACUACUAUCAAGAUUUUUAGGACAUUUUUUAAAAGAAAAAUAUAAAUAUUCUUCUAAAACAUCAAUCCUAUGAUUGUACAAUUGAUCUACAAAAAAAAGCUCAACCACCAUUUGGACCAAUCUACAACUUAUGGCAAAAUGAAUUGGCUACACUAUAGGAGUAUAUUGACGAGAAUAUGACUAAGAACUUCAUACACCAUUCAAAAUCUCUAAUAAGAACUCCUAUCUUAUUCGUGAAGAAAAAAGAUAGAUCUCUAUGGAUGUAUAUAAACUAUUGAAGACUUAACAAGAUCACCAUUAAAAAUAAGUAUUUUCUACUUUUGAUUUUAAAACUUCUUGACCAAUUCAAUCAAGCAAAAAUAUGUACAAAAAUAGAUUUACAAAGAACAUAUAAUCUAGUCUGCAUUAAAAAAAAAGAUGAAUAGAAGAUUAUUUUUUAAAUUAGAUAUGGAUAUUUUGAAUAUAAUGUCAUGCCUUUUGGACUCACAAAUGUACCUCUUAUUUUUUAAUAUCUCAUAAAUGAUAUCUUUUGUAAAUUUCUUGAUGAUUUUAUUGUCUAUUAUUUAAAGGACAUUCUAAUCUACUCUAAAAAUAUAAAAAAAUAUGAUUUUUAUAUUUAUCAUGUAUUACAAAAAUUUAGAGAUGCAAGAUUAUAUGAAAAGCUAAAAAAGUAUGUAUUACAUUCUAUUCACAUUGACUUCUUAGAAUAUAUCAUUUCUAACAAAGUAUUAAUGAUGGAUCUUAAGAAGGUCCAAACUAUCAUGGAUUGGAAGAUCCUAAAAACAAUCAAAGAUAUAGAAUAUUUUUUGGAAGUUUUUAAUUAUUAUUGAAUCUUCAUCAAAAACUUUUAUUAAUAAUAAAAUAGAAACAUUAAACUUUGCUAUAGAUGUUGUCUUAUCUUAAAUAGGAACAAAUGAUAAGCUCUAUCUAGUAGCUUUUUAUUCCAAGAAAUUUUCAGAUGCUGAGAUAAAUUAUAAGAUCGACAAUAAAAAGCUUUUUACAAUUGGGGAUUUAUUUCAAGAAUGGAGUCAUUAUUUGAGAGGCAUUUUUAGUCCAAUUAUUGUGUAUACAUAUCACAAGAAUCUUAAGUACUUUAUGUUGGUAUAUAUUUUGAAUCAUCACCAAGCCCAUUAAAAUUUGUCUUUAUCUAAAUUUAAUUUUAAGAGUAUCUAUAGAUCUUAAAAAUAACAAGGUUUAUUAGAUAUCCUUACUAGAAAUUCUCAUUUUGUAUCAAAAGAAAGAAAUGCAGCUUUUGAUCAACAAAGAAUGAUUUUUUUGAAGCCAAAAAAAUUUCUUCUUCAAGCAAUGAAAUCAACAUUGAUUGUUGAUUCAACAUUUUUCAAGCAAGUUCAAUUGAAUAUGUCUUUUAUUCCUCUUAUUCAUGAUUUGAAGAAUAAAUCUUUUAAAUCUUAUGAUACUUCUAAGUUUGAGUUUAAAAAUAAUCUACUCUACUUUGAAGAAUAAUUAUAUAUUCUAAAAGGCAAAGCAUAAUUAUGUAUUCUUCAAGCUUAUCAUGACUUUUCAAUAGCCAUAUAUUUUGGAUAUAACAAGACUUUGGAGCUAAUAACUAAAAGAUUUUAGUGGCUUCAAAUAUAAAAGGUAAUUAAAGACUUUAUGCAAUCAUGUGAUAUUUUUUCAAGAUUCAAAAUUCCUUGUCAUGCAUUUUAUGGACUUCUUCAGCCAUUACCUAUUCUAAAAUAAUCAUAGUCUUUUAGUUCUAUGGAUUUUAUCAUGGAUCUUUCAAUCUAAAGUUUGUAUGAUUCUAUAUUUAUAAUAGCAGAUCAUUUUAUCAAUCAUAAGAAACAAUCAUAAUUCAAAGUGGAUGAUAAGGUAUGGUUACUCUAUCAUAAUAUUAAAAUUAUUUAUCCUUGUGACAAGUUGAACUAUUAUAAGCUUAAACUUUUUCCUAUUAGUCAACAAGUCAAUUUUUUUGCUUAUUGAUUGCAUCUAUUGUAGUCUACAAAGAUCCAUUUUAUAUUCCAUGUAUCUCUUCUUGAAGCAUAUAAGAUAGUGAAUAUCUUGGUAAGAAGAAAAAUGCCACUUUUUUUCAUAGAAGUAGAUAAUAAUCAAAAAUUUAAGGAAGAAGAAGUUUUAGAUUUAAAGUGGUGCUGAAAUAGAUUGAAAUAUCUUAUUGAUUGGUGUGGAUAUAAUAUUAAUAAAUAUACAUGGGAGCCAACAAAAAAUUUUGUAAAUACAUCAAAGAGAAUUGAGGCUUUUUAUCAACAAAAUCUAUCAAAACCAAGAUGAAGAAUAGCAAAUCUUUAUCAUAAAAGAAACAAGAUUCAAGAAAGAUUGCAUUCUACCUUCUAUCCUUGUUUGUAGCUUCUCUAUAUUUGUGAUGCUAAUAAGAUGGAAAACCAAAAAAUAGUAGAAACUUGGUCAAUAAUUUAAGCACAUAUUAAUAGCUUAUAAAACAAGCCAAUUAUGUGGCUUACAUAUAGAAAACUUGCCUUGCAAGUUAAGAUAUGUAUCUUACAAAGUCAACAUGUUUUGAAGGUUUUGUAGGACAUUGCUACAUAAUUUUUAGUUAAGAAUAUAUAUGGAGGCAAGAAUUAAAUCUUUUUCACUCUUAUCAAUGCCUUUUUAGUUUUUAAUCUUAUUUCAAAACUUUUUGGUCUUCUUGUCUUUGGUAAUAGCCAUUCUACUUCAAUAUAUUAUCAUCUUCAAGUAAUUUUUUAAUCUUUUUGAUUGAUACAAGAAUAUAUUGCCAUUUUAAUUUUUUGAGGUUCAUGUCUUUAAUAAGGAGGAUAAUUUGUAGUCUUUUAUAUCAAAUAAAAAUGUAUAUAAAGAUAAAUAAUCUAUUUUUAAAAAAAUCAAUAUUAGAAAAUUAAAAAAAUAUUAAUUUAAAAAUAGAUAGACUACAACCUUCAAAAUAUAAAAAAAAGAGUAAGGUAAUUUAUUGACUUCUAAAUAAAAUAAGAAUAACAAAUUAAUAUUCUUAUCAAAUUAUCAAAGACAUGAAUUACAAAGAAUCAAAAGGUCAAUAUACUCUUGUAUCAUUCAAAAAUAAUAAAUAAUCACUUAGAGAUAGUAUAAUAUCAAACUAAAAUGACUAUUGUUAAAGACAAGUAAAUUAAAGGCUUUUGAAACAAGAUUAAGGACAAAAAAAUAGAUUGAUAAGAGUAAAAAAGGCUUCACUCUUAUUUGUAUAUACACUAUUUAAUCAAGAAUUAUGUGACAAUAUUUUAUACUACCUCUAAUACAUAUCUAACUUACAAGGCAUGUGUAAAAUUUGCAAAACAAGUUUCUUAAAUAUGCACCAAGUAGCUAACUUGUACUAAAAGUUACCAACAUGAGUAAUACAUGGCCAAUUUAUAUGCCAAGAUUUUAAUCUAUCAAUCACUUGAAAAUACAUAUAAAGUCAAAUCUACAUCUAUGAAGCUUUUAAGAAGUAUCUCAAUAAUAUAUUAUAAAAUCUACUUACUUCUAUUUAUUUAUAUCUAUUUUUUUAAUUAAGAUAUAUAUAUAUAUAUAUAUAUAUAUAUAUAUAUAUAUAACAUUAUCUAACAUAGAUUUUAAAAAUAUAAUAAAGCCUGUAAAAUUUGAGAUUGAAACAUCUUUCUUUUAUAUAAUUUGAUAUUUAAUAUUUAAAAAUAAAAGAAGUAAAAAGCAUCAACAUAGAAGGAAGCUGUUUUUAUAGAUAAUAUAUUCUUUUAGUUUAAAUAAAUCCACACUAUUUGAUUAUUAUUUAGAACUUUUUGCUUAUAGACCAUUUAGAUUCAUAAAAACAAAUGUGUCAUUGAUCAAAACAAUAAAAGUAUAAAAUGACAUUUAUAUUAGAAGUAUGAUCUAAAAAGAUCUAAUAGAAUAUAAGUAAAUUAAAUAAAAACCAUAAAAAAAUUAUAAUUGACAUAUUAACACAUAAGCAUUCAAAUCUUCCAAACAAUUUUGCAAUUAGAAAGAAUAAUGUCAAUAUGUUUUAUUAUUAUAAAAGUAUUGGUUAUAAUGUAUUAGAAAAAAUACAAUAUAAUAAGGUUAAAGAUAUCAUUUCAAAAAAUCAAAAAAAAAAUCAAAAAAUUAAAAAAUCCAACAAAAAUAAAAAAAUAUAUAUAUAUAUAUAUAUAUAUAUAUAUAUAUAUAUAUAUAUAUAUAUAUAUUUGAAAAAAAUUGAUGGUAAAAUUAAUAACAAUCAGACACCAAAAAAUAUAAAUGUUUUUAUUAUUGAGAUGUAAUUAAAAAUAAUGCAUUGAAUAUUACUUAUAAAUUUUUUUUAUUAUUUUAUAUUAUUUUUAUUCCAAGAUAUUUCUAAUAUUAUUCUAUUUGAAAUAGUAUGAAAAUAUUUUUUUCUAUCAAUCUCAUUGGUAGGAUUGCAAAUCUGAAUUAGUCUUUAAUAAAAUAAUCGAUUUAAAUGUUAUAUAUUAUUUAUGAACAAUUAUUUGAUUUAUUUUAUAAUUUAUUUAUUUUAUUUUAUAAAAAUUAAAUAAUUCUUGUAAUGUUUUUGAAGUAUUUUAGCUAAAUAUAAAGUGACAAGUUAAAAAUUCCUAAUUCAUAUUGUAUUAAAAAUAUUCUUUAAUCUAGAAGAAUAUAUAUAUAUAUAUAUAUAUAUAUAUAUAUAUAAAAGUAUGAUUGAGACAAAAAUAAAAUUUAAAAUACUCUUUUUUUUUUAAAAAAAUGUGUAUUAAUUAUUUUAUUUUAUUUUAUAAGAUUUUAGAUACUGCUUAAAAAUCCAAGUAAGAUAAGGGUGUUAUUUUAAGAAUUUAAGAAUUAAUUUAGGAUUAAAUUAUAAAAAAUAUAAUAUUUAGUCUUUAAUUUUUUACAAUAACUUCUAAAGAAUAUGUUAUUUUUUUUUCAAAAAAAAAAUCUAGAUGUUUUUUUAAUAAUAACAUCAAAGAAGUUCUAAAAUUGUCUUCUUUAUAAGUGCUAAAAUAUGUCAAUUAGGAAAAUCUUCAUUGAUAAUAUGCACAGAUGUAUUUGUGGCAAAAAGUGCUUCUAUGCACAUAUAUUAAUUUUUUAAUUUAAUAUAUAUAUAUAUAUAUAUAUAUAUAUAUAUAUAUACAUUUAAAAUUUAGAAUCAAGAAGUAAAAAUAAAAAAUAAAAUAAAAUAAAAUGUAUUUAGAAAGAAAUUAGUAGUGUCCAGCUAUGUGGUUUCUAUUAUAAGUAGACAUUAUUUCUUUUUGAUGGCACACAUCUCUAUCAAUUGAUUUAUAAUUUCAAGCUAUAGUUUUUUUUCUUUUUCUUUUUCUUUUUCUUUUAACAAAAAAUUUAUGCAAUAAAAAUUAAUUUAACUUUCUAUUUUAUUGCAAUAAUAUGAGAUUUAAGUUUAGAAGAUUUUAAAAACUUAUAUUAAAACAAGUUGAGUCUUUUUUUAACUUUUACAAAUUCAGCUUUUCAAUUUUUUGUUUAAUAUUUUUAAAAUUUCAAUAUAUAUAUAUAUAUAUAUAUAUAUAUAUAUAUAUAUAAAGAUAUGUAUAUAUAUUAUGUAUCUUAAAAAUUCUAAUAAUUAUCUAAAAAUAACAAAAUGGUAUUAUUAGUCAAAAUAAUAUAUAUAUAUAUAUAUAUAUAUAUUUUUUUUUUUAUGUAGAUAAUUACAUUAAGAUAGUUUAAAAGAUGCAUUCUAUAAAUUUGAGUUAUCCAUGAAAACAAUUCUAAGGUUUUACUAAAGAUUCUAAGUAAUAUUAAAAAAAUUCUUAAAUAUUAAUAGUAAAUAAUAUAUGAUAAAUGAAUUUCUAAAAUAAUUCAUUUUUUAUAAACAUUUAAUAUGUGUUAAGACCUUAAAAGAUGUAGAUUUAAAUUUAUAAUAUAUAUGUAGUAUAAUUUAAGAAAAUUUUGAAUGAAAAUUAAUGUAUAAAUGUUGUGAUUGAAUACAGGAUUUAUAUUUAAUAAAAAAUUGCUAAUAGUUGAAUCACAAGUAACAGUAAUCUUAUUUCUUUGUAAACAAGUAAAAAGUAAAGACGUAAAUUAAAUAAAGUGAUUAAUAUAAAAGGUUAUAAAUAAAUAUAAAGAUAACAGACUAUUUGCGGCUAAUGAAAUUACAUCAAAAUACCUUGAAUCAUUUUUUCUAUAAAAUUUUUGAAUUUCUCUUAGUCUUUAAUUAGGGCGGGACACUUCUAAAAUUUAAAAAAGCAAUACAAUUUUUUUUACUAUAUGUUUUUUUUUUUAAAUUAUGGAUUUCUUGUAUGAAUAUUUUUUUAUUAGUUUUAAUAUUACAUAUUUUGGUAGAUCUUUUAUAUAGGAAGAUAUAAGUAUUAUUGAGAUAAAUCUUCUUUUUUGGCACAACAGAAUAAGAAUAAUACAGAUUUUUGUAAAUUAAAUUUUCUACAAUACAAAAUAAGUAGUGCUAAAAUAUCACACUCAUAUUGAGUGCAAUGACAUGGUUAAAAUAAGUGAGAAAAUAUAAAAUAAGAAGUGAUUAGGAAUUACAAACAAAACAAUAGUUAUGUUAUAACACAAUAAAAACAUUGAUAUUUUGAUACUUCGUUUGGAUAUUUUUGUAGCCCUUAAGAUUACCAUAAGAAACUUAUUCUCAAUUUUCCAAACUCCUAAAUUGAACCUCAUUGAGAAAAACCUUGAAAAGUACCAAAAUAUCUGUGCCUUAGAAGAAUUACACAACAACGGGAGAUACAUCAAGAGCCACUGUGUCGAUCAAUUCCAAGAUUAGCAGGUGGUGGUGGUGGUGAUCGGGUACAAACGUGCCGCUGGACCUUCGAAGGGACUACAGGCUACACAUUUCCAGGGCAUGCGAAUGACAUGCACUUCCAGAAUAGAGCCGAUCCCAAUGUGGGUGGCCACUGUGCAGCAACAGUCGCUGACUUUAAGGCACAGCUGAGUGCGGCAUCUGGAAACGAGCGCGUAUUUAAUUUCUAGAUUCUUCUAAAAAGAGCUGCACAAACGUCUCUUUGGAAACAUGUGAUCGAUCUCACAACGAUUUACAACCUUUCAAUUGAUAGUCUUUGCACAUGUAGAUUGGUAUUGCAGGUCCUUUAGAGUCACAAAAAAAAUUUGUAAUAGGACAUUAGGGAGUGACUGAAAGUGGGACCUCCUCUUAAAAGCGGAUGAAUUGUAUAUUAACCAAAGUUUGGCAGGAAGUGGUGGAGAUACAAAAAAAGCAAGCAAACAGAGUUGGAAUUUACUGUUGUGGGCAUACAUCAAGAACACUGCAUAAGGAUCCUACCUGCAAAAUAACAAUGUAGUAAUUGUUGAAUCAUUUCCAAAUAUAGUGAAUAAUGAUAUAAAAUAUGUUAAAAUGUUUUAUUCUUAAUUGGUUUUUGGGUACAAGAUCCAACCACGUAAGGAAGAAAAUCUUCAUGGAGACUAUUUGAGAUAAGUAACUGAAAAAGACAUGCAUUUCAUUAACCAAUACAAAGAUGAAAAUUGUUUUAGAAUAUUGAAUUCAUAUAUGCUUAUAUUCAUAGAACUUAUAUGGUUUAUAUAUAAGCAAAUACAUGGUUUUUGACUUAUGAUAGUAUUAUUAUUAUUAUUAUUAUUAUUAAUUAUUGUAGGAUUAUGAUUAUACUAAUUUUGAAAAACGUGGUAAAUUAAAAAAUAUAUGUAUCUAUAUAUAUACAUAUAUAUAAUACAUGAGCAAUAAAUUAUGUCUUAUCAUACUAAUAAAUAAUUAUUAAUGAAAUUAUUAUUAAUAAAUAAGAGAUAAAUUAAAAUAAUACUUCUUGUAGUUUUAUUUUAUUUUUCUUUUAAUUUUAAACUUAAUAUAUUUUUUAUUAAAUCAAAUAAAUGUAUAAGUGAAUACAAAUAUUUAGCCAACCUAAAUCAUUCAAUUAGAGGAAAAUUUAGAAACCAUUUAUACUAAAGCUAAACUACUCAACAAAAUAUUUGAAUUAAUACUAUAAAUAAGAAUAUAAUAAAUUAUAAGGAAAAAAUGAUUUUUUUAUUAAAAUACUAAUAAAUCAUAGCAUAAAUACUAUUUAUUGGUAUUUUUUAUUAACUAGUUAUUUUUAAUUAUAAAACACAUAUCCAAAAAAAAUAAAAGAAUUCAAAUGGUUGUAAUUGAUUAUUUGUCCAAAAAUUAAAAUAAGAUUGGCCUAUAAUAUACUAAUUAUAUUACUAUAAAUUAUAAUGAUAAUUAAAACCAAUGUGAUAGAAUUAUUCUAAUCAAUUUAAAGAAUAUGGUUGUUGUCACUAUUUUAGAUUAUAUUUUAAAGGCAAUAGAUCUUAUAAUUUUAAAAAUACAUCAUAUCUUUUGAUAGAAACUAAAAUUUUUUUAGUUGAUACUAAUGAUUAAUAUUAUAUAAAUAUAUAUCAUAUUACUAUAAUAAGCUAUUAUAUUAAAAUUAUUUUUAUUAUUUAAAAUAAAUUAUCAAUAUUAUAAAAAAAUUCUCUUUUAAAUUCUAAAGAUUUAUUUAGUAUGCUAAUACAAAUGGUUAGAAUUUUAUAUAUAUAUAUAUAUAUAUAUAUACAUAUAUAUAUGAUCUUAUUAAAGAUUAGCCUUAAUUUUAUUAAACUUAGCAUACUAUUGCUAUGAAAUAUUAUUCUCUAAAUCUAUAAAUAUAUAUACAACAUCAAAAAGUUAAUAUUACAACUAUGAUAUCUAAUAAUUUAGACUAUUUAAUCUCAAAUUUAAAGCACAUCAAUAUCUAAUAAAAAAAUAAUAAUUACCAAAUUAUAUCAUGUCUAAUCAACAAUCUUGUUACAAACUUAAGACUGUAAUUUCUUUUUUGAAUAUAUUAAAUAGAUAAAUUUACCAACUCAAAGUUACUAUGUAAGGCUAGGUGUUUUAAACUAAUGCUAUAUAUAUAUAUAUAUAUCCAGUUUAUUUGAAUAUUAGAAAUAAAUGUAUUGGUGCAAUAUAAAUAUUUGACAAAGAAUUAUUUUCCACUACACAAUGAAUCAUAUUUAGUAAUAAUCAUAUUAAUAUUACCAAGAAAUGCCAUUGAAUAUAGGUAGGUAAAGUCAAUAAAAAAUAUAAAUCUACUUCUUCUAGUUCAUAAAUUAAAUGAUAUAUAAUAAAUAUGUAUUUUUUAUAUUAAAAAAUAGAUAAAUAUAUUUCUAUCUAAUUAUUAAUUUUUUAGCUAAAUUUUUAAAAGAAGAAGCAAAAAUAAAAUAAUAUUGAUUUUCUUUCUUUUACAAGACAUGAAUAAUUGAUAUAUGGCAAAGUAAAAUAUUAUAUAAAAAAAGAAAUAGUGAGUAAUUAGACUAAUAUCUAAUACUUACAACAAUGGCUAGAAUUUUUUAUUUUAUUUUAUUUUUUCACUUUAAUAGGACAUUUCUAAAACUAGUGGUUUGAAUAAAUAUUUUACAAUGGAAUAUUAUCUAUGACUACCUAUUCAAAGUUUUUCCUAAUUUGCUAUACAUCCAAUGCUUUAGGAGAAUGGACUAACAAAAAGCUAGAUAAAUAUAUAUAGUUAAUAAGCACCAACACCAAUUAGAUGGAUUGAUUCACUUGCUCAAGGAAGAUUACUAAUAUUAUAUGAUCUAAGAAUCAAGCCCUAGAGGUUGCCACUACAAAGAGAGAUUUUUUUUGUUAAGAAUUUAAUUUUCACUAAAUAGUCAUUUUUCUUCUUCCUCUUGCUCUUUAACCUCUUGUUUUGGUUUGUUGUUUGUUUGUUUGUUUUUUUCUUUUUUCUUUUUUACUUUUGCAAUUCUCUUCUCCUUGGCUCUAGAUUUCCAAUUUGUGUCGCAAUAAUGGGGGAAAUGUCAAAACAUAUUCAAAGUAACAAAAUAUCUGAAUUUUAUUAUAAAAAAGAAAAAAAAAUCUCAUUUGGAAGAUAUUUAGCUUAGCCUAGUUUUUUUUGUUGGAAUGCAAAUUAGCCAAUUACUUAAAUUCGACUACUGAAAAGACAAGCAGUCAUGGAGAACUUGUUACCUUGCAAUAGAGAACCCUCUGUUUGUGUCACUAUUUGUGCUAUAAUAAAAAAUAAAAAAUAUAUAUAUAAAAAAAAACAACUAGUGCAUGUUGAUGUUAUUUUUGGUAUAUGAAAUCUACUUGAAAUUCAUGUGAAAGCAUGCGAACACCAGCUCAGCAAGACAAAUUGAACGAAGAUCAGAUCAAACUUUCAGAACUGACGUCUGUUCUAUUUGAACCCUGAAUAUAAGAGUCCGUUCCAUACACUCGAUGCUUUAGAGACCGAUCAAACUAAUUUUAAUUCCUUGGAGUUCAACUUCAUCGACAAAGUUAGCUGUGAACUGCUAUAGUGAAGCGAUGGACCAAUAAAAAGUGUGAUAGGGCGUGCCGCUCCAUCACGAGUUGACUUAAUGCUCCGAGGUGUCGAACGACCAUGUGAUAUUAAAGAGCGCCGAUGUGUGAUCGACUACUCAUGAACUUGCAUAUUCGACCAUUGGACUGCGACAGUAUCCGCAGUUUCUCGGUCACUAGCAAUUACACUUAGUAUAAAUCUGUUUGAAUCUGUUUGUAGAGUGGACUGUGCAUGGCCCCCGCCAUCUGACACGGAACAGUGAUAGAUACCAAACAUGGAUUAUGUGGUAAAGUCAUAAGCCAGGAUAAUUCAUCCACGUCAUCCAUCUAGGACAGUGUCGGAGGGGGGUGGGGGUCUUGGCGAACUCACCGCGGUUUCUGCUAGUAGCCCAGGAAGAUCGAUUCGCCGGAGGCUAGUCUUGGGUAUUGAGAAAUUAGUUAACUGGUCUCUAAUUUUUCAGAUAGCUGAUUUGAGCUUCUCGCCGGCCAAAUGAACAUUGCAUCUAUACUUGUGACAUCUCCUUGUUAAAAGCCAAGAUUGAUGUGGUCUUGGUCACGCCUGGCUUUGCAAGGGGAAACUAUGGUGCCGAUGUCCAGUUUGCGUUGUAAAUUAUAUUUUGGAUCAGGGGUAAUGUUCUUGCAGAGGAUGCUUUCAAGUGAUGUCUUCGCUAACGGUGUGUUUUCUUUUCCAAUUCUAAUUGAUAAAAUUGGUGCAGGAGGUCCUUUCUCAGAGCAGUUGGCUCCCUCGAGAUCUUAGGCCUGCAAAAUGCAGGUUGGUUUCUUUUAGCUAUUCUAUGGUUCUCUAUGUCACUGGAUGGCUAUAAAAUCUCCGAAUCAGGGCGUCAUCGGAAGCGCAUAAGCAGUGUCUCAAAAACAGGACGAAGUUUGCUGCCGUUAAUGGUGGCUGUGGUAUGCGCUCUGCUGCUUACUGGUCGGCUGCUAUGGUGCUUCACGUAUCUAAUCAAUGGUGAUGAAACGGGUAUCCUCGUUGGUCCUCACAGGACCAACACCAGCAGAGCGGAUGCAGGCGUACUAGGCAACAGGGAGAGUCACGGUUCAAUCAAGGUAGAGGAAAUCUUCCCAAGGGCCGCAGUACAGGAAGAAGUUACAAGAGACAACGAAGAAGAAUUCGAGGAUGACAUCAAAGACAAUAAAGCCGAUGGUAUUGAGGGUAGUAGUGAAGGAAUGACAUACGCUGAGGAAAAACUGGAAGUCGAGACCAAGAUUGGUGAAGAAACAACAGAAACGGUAAACAUUGAUCUAAAUCCAGGUGAUGAAGGUGAAAUAGACGAAGAGGAAGCUCUUACAAGAGAUAAUGAAGAUCAGGAAGGAAGUGUAAGAAUGGAUAAAUUUCCUGAUGCCAUUGCGUACUUGGAAGAGCUUGCUGCUAAUCUCACUAGUAAAGGUGUCGAGGACGAUGAUGGACCAUAUCAUUCUCGUCGAAUCUUUGAAUCUGAUUUCGCUGCCAUGAAGCGGAAUUUUCGAAUCUUUGUGUACCCUCACGACGAGCGCAACCCAUUUCAUGUAAUUUUUCAGGCAACUAACGCUAAAAAGUUGCCCUGGGCAAUUACGCAAGCGAAGAGUUCUUUCACCAAGGACUUCUGCAAAGCGGUUUCAUAACAAAGGAUCCAUCCAAGGCCGAUUUCUUCUUAAUGCCAAUUUCAAUCACCAAAGCACGCUUGGACAAGCGCAUCGACGUCGGAGGCUUGCAGAAAUUCUGCACAAAAUAUGUUCAAGAUAUGCGUUCGCAAUGGAACUACUGGAAUCGUAGCAGCGGAACCGACCACUUCUACUUGUCGUGCCACUCUAUUGCUCGCAAUGCAAUGGACGGAAUACCGGAGGUGCGACAAAAUGCAAUCCAGCUGCUCUGCCCUGCUAGCUACUUUCUUGCGUAUAACAUAACGCACAAGGACGCUUCAGUGCCGCAAAUCUGGCCCCGAAUUGGACGAGAACCCAAAGAGGUCGGCACUAUCACUCAGAGGUCCGUCCAAAAGCUCCAUACUCCAUACCUUGAACUUAUUUUUAUUGUCAAUUACCACGCCAGUCUUACAGGAAUCUCAAUUCACUUGUUUUGCAGAACAAGAUUGGCUUUCUUCGCAGGUGCCCUCAACUCCCCCGCACGACAGGUACUUAAAACCAUCUGGGGUAACGACGACAAAAUAUUCGUUCAGGAUGGCCGCACUCCGUUUCCUUACUCAGAGGGUUUGCUGACCAGCAAGUUCUGCCUUCACGUGAAAGGUUUUGAAGUCAAUACAGCGCGUCUUGGGGACGCCAUGUACUAAGGGUGUGUUCCUGUGGUGAUCGCAAACUAUUAUGACCUUCCCUUCCAAGACAUCUUGGACUGGACAAAAUUUUCCCUUGUGGUGUCGUCCCUGGACAUUUCCCAGCUGAAGGAUAUUCUUGAAGCGGUGACGCCUCAGCAUUAUGCGAAGCUUCACAAGCACGUGCUGCAGGCGAGGAAGCACUUCAUAUGGCACACUCCUCCUGAAGAGCACGACGCUUUCAACACGGUGAUGUAUGAGCUCUGGAAGAGACGGCAUACAGUUGGACGUCCCUUGUAGAUUGUGACCUUGCUGCCAUGGAAUUGUAAUACGUUUCGAUCGCGUGCAGAUUUGCAGCGAUUGAUGCAGCUCUGAUCCUCGUGUGUCAUACAAAACCGACCUGAGGUCGGUGAGACUAGACGUUACAGUGCAGCAGAUCAUAGAAUAUGAGAAAGCUUCAGCGAGACGGAAAUGGCUGCUGCCUUAAAUUCUUCCGACUUCGAAGUCAUGCCUACGUAGAAUGUGUUCAACAGCCAAAUGGGUGUUCUUUCCAAUCAUGACUACCAUUCAAGUUUAUAAUCAUGAGCUUGUUUGACAUUUUAACUUUCACAUUACAUUAACACAAACUUAGACACUAUGCUUCUGGCGCCUUUAAAUUAUCUAAAGCUUUUAUUAACGAUUUUCUCUUUUGUGUGUAAAUUGGUUUUAUGAAAAUUGGUCAAAUUGUUUAGAUUUUGAUUUAUUAUUCUAUAAAAUGAUUAUUUAAAUUGAUUUUUUGAAAGUAUUUGUAAAUGUAUGUUUGAGUGUAUAUAUUCAUUACUUUGUUUCAUUUUGUAUACUAAAUUACAUUUCUAAUUGUUUAAGUAAUCUGUUUAUACAAUAUGGUGUAUUGCACAUAAUCACAAAUGUUAUAGAAUUUUAAGAAAAUCGUCUUAAGUUUUGUAAUGAAAACAUGUGAAUACAUAUAUAUCUAUAUAUAUAAAUAUAUAUGUUUGUUUAACAGAAACAAAUAUACAAUGAUUGUAAGAUAGAUGAUUUGUGAAUUAUUGGUUUAUAUAUAUAUAUAUAUAUAUAUAUAUAUAUAUAUUCUUGUCUCUAUUGUUGAUCAAAUUUCCAUUUAAUGUGUGUAUUUUUAUGUAUUUUUCCUUUAAUUGAUAAUAUUAAUAAAAAAUUACUACAUUUGGGUUUAUGUGUUAUGCCUAUUUUAUUGUUAAUUUUUUUUCUGUAUAUUUUUUUCAUGUUUUGUGUAGUUGCAUUUUAUUUUUCUUUCCUACAGCAUUUUCAAGGUUAUGUGUUUAUUUAUUUAUUUAUUUUGGUAUAUUUUUUUUUAUUCAUAAUUCAAUUUAGUUUUUGUUUGAUAUUUACAAAAUUUAUUAGCAUAAAUCUUAGCCACAUUGUUUAGAUUUAGAUUUAUUAUUCUAUUGCAUAUUACUAUGUAUAAAUAACUUGAUUCAACAUAUAAUUUGCAAAACAGAGUAAGGGCUUUAAGUUCUGCUUUUUAAAUAUUUUAAACUAAAAUUUUAAAUUUUAAAUGAAUGAGGUUUAAAAGAAAUUUAUUAUAAUCUUUAAAAAUGCUAAGUGGUUUAUAUAACGAUAGUCUGCAUUACAAUUUUAGGUAUUAAAUUUUAUAUAUUUUUCUUUGUUUAUUAUUUUAAAUAAGAAACUUAUUAUUUUUUUAUGAAAUCUUAUUACGAAUAUAUAUAUAUAUAUAUAUAUAUAUAUAUGGCACAUCUUUUUAUAAAAAUUAUCAAUUUUUCUUUCAAAAGAGCAUAUUGAGAACCUUCAAUUAGAAAAAAAAAAAAAAAAAAAAAAAAAAAACUACACUGAAUAAGUUCUUAAAAUAUACUCAAAAUCGAUAUUAAAAUUUAAAAUUUAAUUUUUAAUUUUUAAUUUAUUUUUUGUAAUUUUAUGGGUUUUUUUUUUAAAAAAUAUAUUUUGGAUAUUUAAAAAAAUAGGAGUUAUAUUUGUCGUUAAUAAAAUAAAAUUUAUUUGUAUAUUAGAAAAAUUAGGAUUUUCUUCAUUAAUCUAAAUUAAAUAUUUGUAUAAAAAUAAUUAAUUAUAGUAUAUUAAUUACUACAUAUUAAUUAUUAGAGAUAAAUUAAUAUAUAAAUAAUCAAUUAUUAGUUCUUCAUAAUUAAUUAGGUUUUAUUUUUUUGUGUUAAUUUUUUUUUUUCCAUUAAUGUGAAAGAACCUCAAAUUAUUAUUUGCGGUUUCCUAUUACAUGAAGUAGUGCUUGAAAGUGCACCAAGCACUUGACUAAGGAAGAUAGAAUGGAAAUUGCAUUAAAAAAAUCUUAAUUCUAAUAAAAUACUAAAUAAACUCUAAUUAAACUUUAACAAUACUAAAUAAGCUUUAAUCAAAUUUGAAAGAAAUCUUAAAGAAAUUACAAAAGAAACAAUAAGAAAUCUUAAAGGAGUUGAAAGAAAAUCCACAAUAAACCUUAUAAGAAUCCUUAAGAAGCCUUAAAAUUUUUUAAAAUAAUCACAAUUAUAUCUUAAAUAAAUCUCAACUAGUUUCUAAUUUGACCCUAAUUGAAAUCCUAAUAGAUUUCAAUCAAACCCUAAACAAAUCCUAAAUCCUAAAUCAAAUCCUAAAUCUUAAAUCAAAUUCUAAAUCAAAUUUUAAAUCCUAAAUCAAAUCCUAAAUCAAACCUUAGAUCCUAAAUUAAAUCCUAAACUAAAUCCUAAAUCAAACCUUAAAUCAAACCCUAGACCAAACCCCAGAUCCUAAAUCAAAUGCUAAAUUAAAUCCUAUACAAACUCUAAAUCCUAAAUCAAUUCCUAGAUCAAAUCUUAGAUCCUAAACUAAAUCCUAAAUCAAAUCCUAGAUCAAACCCUUGAUCCUAAACCAACCCUAAUCCUACUCAAUCUAAUCCUAGUAUAAUUUAGAACCUCAAUAUCUAUCAAUUGAACUAUUGAUCUUGCUUAAAAAUUUUCAUACCUUUCAACAACUGACUUGGCAACAAGUACACAAAAUUUGAAGAUAACCCUACAUACCAAAUGGAAGAAAAAUCCUAAAUUCUACUUAGGAGUUGGCUAGCCUUCUACUCCAAUCUAAAUAUUGAACUUCUAGUGCCAAUAUUUUCUUAUUGAAUUGUUUAAUUAUUUUUAAAUUUUACAUAUAUAUAGAAAAUUAAAUCUAUUACUUUUAAACACAAAUUUUAUUUCAAUCCAACCAAUAGAUUGCUAAAGAUCUUAGAAAUCCUAAUUGCCUUUCAAAGUCUAAUUUUUGAGACCUCAACCUACUUGAAAUUUGAUAGCCUUCACUUCAACUCUUUGAUCAAGCUCAAACUUACAGCAUACAAUUUAAACAAUUAUUUUCAUAAGACAUCAAAUUUUGAAUUGUAGAUCUACUACCAAACUCAUGAAAUUCUCUAAAAUAUAAUAUCCUUUUUAUUUCACAAAUUUCAGAUUUAUCCAAAAUAACUAUAACUUUGCAAAGCUCUUCCAAAGUCAUUACAUACUUAAUUCUCUCAAAAUCAAUGCUCAAAGAAACCUUAUUAAGUCUGCUCUUAAAUUCCACUCUUUGAUUUGCCAAAGAAUCCCAAAGUUUUGGUAGGUGCUUGAUUUUCUACCUCAGGGUCUGAUUUCGAUCCAUGUUGAUAACUGGUCCUCUAUGGAUAUCAAAUUAUGCUCUUUUGAGCUAAUUUUUAUUCCAAUCAACUCCUAACUUCUUCUUACAUAUGUUCAUAUUCUUUAUAUUUCUAAUCUAUCUUGUUUUGCCUUAUUUGUGGCCUUACAAAGUAAGUAGAAGCCUACUUUGCAAAAAGUAGCAUUUAAAUCUUUAGUUCUACUUUCUUUUGGACUAUUGUCUAUUUACUAAGAUAAUUUGCUAUAAUAUUUGAAGUAAGAUAUUCUAUAAUAUAAUAGAUUCUUCACCCCUUUCACCUAUUAUUUGUAUUACAUUACAAUAGUGUGUAACUAUAUCACCAAUUUGGAUGUUAUAUGUUACAUCUAAUAGCAUGCAUACUUUGCCACAUAAUUUUUCAAUGCCAAACUUAUCUACAAUUCCUCACGUAAGCUAAUUCUUGAAAUAAAAUAAACUCAAAGUUAUAGAUUUGGUAAUAAGUAGUCUUUUAAUAAUUAAGAGAUUGCAAAAAUAAUUUUAGAAGUUCUAUGAUAAUAAUUCCGUCCUCUCUUUAUCAAAGAGCCUUAGAUUGGAUAGCACCUAUACAUAAAGAUGUAAUGGUUUUUUUUCCAAUUUAUGCAUAAAAAGACUUCUAAUUUAUUUAAAGAGUCACAUGCAAUGAUUUGAAAGAUAAAGAAUUUUAAUAGACUAUACGGCUAUAUAGAUAAGGUAAAGAAUAGACACAAUAAUGGAUGCGACAAAAUAUUUAAUCAAAAUAUUAGUAUUAAUUAAAUCCAACAAAGAUUUGUAAGUAUCAUACAAUCCUAUUGAAUCUUAUUAAUGUCUAAUCUUAAUCUCUAAAUGUCUUGUUAUAAUUUUAAUAAUACCUAUUCAUUUUCAAAAGUUAUAAAAUUUUAAACUCUUCAUAAACUUAAAAAUCCUAAUUUUGAUUCUAAAUCCCAAGAACAUUUAUAUGUAUAAAAUUUGAAAUUUUAAUUUUUAAUCUAAUAUAUUAUAUUUAUAGAUUUAUAUGUAUAAUUUUUUAAUUUUUAAUCUAAUACAUUUUAUUUAUAAAAUAUUCUAAUUAAAUUCUAAAAUUUAAAAUUUUCUCUAAAUAUUUAAUUUUAACUUUUAAAUUAAAAAAUUCAAAGGAUUGUAUGUAAAUUCUAUAUACUAGAUUAAAAAUUGAAAGUUCGAAUUUUUAUUAGAAAAAUAAAAUCCUAUAUAUUAAAUAUUUUAUAAAUUUAUAAAUCCUAAUUACAAUCUUAAGAGGUACUUAGGAUUGAAAAAGAAAAGAUGAGAAGCCACAAUGUUAUAUACUUUUAGUCACUUAAAACAUAAAAUCUCAAAAAUAUCACAGUGCUUGGUUACAAUUGUUUUUUAACUCUAUUUUUAGAAUACCUAAGUAGGUUGAGAUCUUCAAAUUAAUUUUACAAUUAAUGUAUAAGUAUCUUACACACUCAAUAUUGGUUAAGCCAACAUACUAAUUAUGAAGCUACUAUAAAUAAUAACUCUUAAAAUGACAUCAACAUUAAAGAUGUGUUCAACUCAUUUUAAGAUAAUCCAACUUUGUCAUUAAAAUUCUUAUCUCAAAUACAAGCAACUUAUCAACAACAACAAAAGGUACAAAUUUCCUUAAGCACCUUAUUUAUGGCACCAUCUACUUUUAAAAUAACAAUAAAACUUAUACUUUGUAGAUCUUAACAAACACUACUACUAUUGUAUUUUUAUAGAAAAAUUAUUCAAUUCGGUACUAUCCAAUUUAUUGUUACAAUAAUAGAAGAAGGCAAAGAAUAAUUAUUUUAUAAAAAAACCAUAUUAGAUCCAAAGUAGCAAGGAAUAAUGUGUUUCAAAUUAGAUUCUAUCAAAUAAAAUUAUAGAUAGAUAUUAGUCUCUUGUCUAAUGUCUAUUUUCUUAAUAAAAAUAAAAUAAAUAUACAAGAUCAAAUUUAGAGUAAAUAAUAAUGCAUCAAGAUUUAAGGCUAGAAUUAUAGCCAAAGGAUUUUAACAUCAAUAUAAUGUGAAUUAUAAAGAGACUUUUGCUUCAACUUUAAGAUAGAAAUCUAUUAAAAUGAUAAUUGUACUAACUAUUAAAUUUAGUUGGUAGAUUGUACUUGUAGUUGUAACAACAAAAUUUUUAAAUUGCAAGCUAUAUAAAGAGGUUUGUAUAGAAUUACUUGGAUGUGCUAUGCCUAAGCCUUUUUAUUUGAUAUUUAAGUUUUUUUUUUUUUUUUUUUUUUUUUUUUUAUAAUUUUAAAUAAAAUCUAAGAAAAUGGUAUAAUAAAAUAAAUUCAAAUUUAUCAAAGAAGAGAAUGCAAUUCACAAAUAUAAAUCCAAAUGUUUAUUAUAAACUCAAAAAAAAACUUUUUAUCAUCCUAAUUUUAUAUCUUGAUGAUCUUCUAAAUACUUGCUUACAUGUAUUUAAAAUUUCAUAACUCAAGAAAUAAUUGAGCUUUGUAUAUCAAAUUAUAAAUAUAAGAUUUUUAUAUAUCUAUGAAGGAUGGUAACAACUACCCCUCUUUUAAAUCUUUAAAAAAUUAAAUUACUAUCUUGGACAUUUCUUUUGGCUCUAAUGUCUAUCUUUAAUCUUCAACCUCUAAAACCUAGAUCUAUAACCAAAUAUAUUUCAUUUACCUUCUUUUAAUAAAGAUCCAUAUAUACAAGUACUUAAUCUAUAUUACAUGCUUGCUAGAUUGACACUCUAUUACUUAUACAAUCCUAAAUCUAGUUGAUAAGAUAUUAAACUAUUCUUUUAGGCUUAAGAUUUUUAAACCAAUUAUUUAUUCUAAAAUCCAAAUAUAAUAAUCUUAAAAAAAUUCUCUAAUCCUCAUCUUGGUUGUCUUUCAGACCUUCUUUUAAUUUCUUCUCUUUAAUCAAGUCAUAAUCCUUCUCUAUUAGAAUAAUAUGAUUCCAUAUUAUAUAUACUUCAUUUAUUUUAAUAUUAGCUUUCAUCCAUUUUAAUCUUCAUUCAUCUAUUUAUUAUUCCAUCUUGAUCUUUAUACAUCCAUUAAAUAUAAUUAUUACCAUUUAAAUUAAUAAAUAUGCAAAAUAAUUUUUUUUAAAUAUAUCUAGUAGUAAUAGAAUGUAUUGACCUACUUCUUUGAUUUGAUAAAUAUCUGUUUAAUAAAAAUGAGAGACUUGGAUUUCAUGACAAAGUUCCUAGAUAUUCAAAUGUUACAAAUUAGUAAAGACAUCUUAUUAUAUCAAAUCAAUUAUAUUGUCUCUAUCUUAAAAAAAUACUUUAUAUUUGAAAGCUUUCUAACAUGUGUCCAAGUUUUAAACUCUAUCAAGUUAUCAUAAGAUAUAAAAACUCCUUCAAUAAAUUAAAUAUUAUAUUAAGAACUAAUUAUUCAAAUAUACAAUGUUACAAAAAUCAAAUUUUAUAUUGGAUAUAUAACCUUAUUGGUCAACAAGUUUAUUCACAAACUAUAAGAAUUUCAUCAACAAAUCAUAUUCUUUAUACUCAAGUAUCAAAAAAAGUAUAUUGAUACUAAGUCUUUGGUUUCCAUACAAAAUAAAGAUAAUCUUUUAUAGCUUUUUCAAUACCAAUAAUAACAAAGAUAUUAGUAGUAGAGUCUCUAUUAGUGAUUAUUUAUUCAAAAUCAAGUAUUGUCCUAUUUUAUGGAAUAUUUAUAAAUAAAAAUCUACUAUUGGAUCUUUUUUUGAAGUAGAAUAUUGAACACUAACUUAGAAUACCUAAAAAACAAUUUGGCUAAGAUGAUUCAUUUAUGAGCUUCAAUUUAACACAUUACAAUAAAAAAAAUAAGUUUGUUCAACUACAAUAGAGACAAUGCGAUUGCAAUCUUGUACAAUACCUAAUAAAAAUCAUAUUUUCUUCUCAAAAUCUACUCUUUGUUUUACAAUAGAUAUUAGUUUGAGAUCCAAACAUCCCAAAGCUUUUAUCUUGUCAAAUUUAAGGACCUUAGCUUGUUUCUUAGAUAAAAAAUUUGAUAAAAGACAUAAUAUAUUUUUAAUGAAGGAAACAAAACCAAUACAUACAAAAGUCAUAGAUGGUCAUCCAUUGUCUUUUAAAGAUGUUAUUCAUAUAAUCCUUCUCAUAGAAAUAAUAAAUAAUAGUUACAAUAGCUUUGUAAUAUUUAAUAUCAAUAGAUCUAUUUUUAAUUUAAUUAUUUUAGAUUUAUUGUAACUAAAAAAAUAUAGAAUAGAUUAGAUUUCUUGAAGUCUUAAUUUUUUUAGAUUACAAUUAAGAUUUUUAUUAAUCAAAUAGAAAGUCAUAAGUCUAGUACAACUUAAUUCUUAUUGAUAGGUAUAAGAAUUUUGUUGUAUAAUAAAAAAAAAAUCUUCUUAUGUUAUUUAUAUCAUAGCUAUUUCUAACAAUAAAAAGACUUUGAGUGAUAUUUCAAGUCAAUAUUAAGAUUUUUAAGAUAUUUUUGAAAAAAAACACAUAGAGUUCAAUUGCAUUUGGAUUAAUCUAUAACUUAUUACAAAAUAAGUUAACUAAAUUCAAGAAAUAUAUUGAUAAGAACUUAUCUUAGAAUUUCAUACACUAUUUUAAAUCUCCAAUGAGAAUCCAUAUCUUCUUUGUGAAGAAAAAAGAUAGAUUAUUGUAGAUGUGUGUGGAUUGUUAAGGACUCAAUAAGAUUAUUAUUAAGAAUAGAUAUUUAGUAUCUUUGAUAUUUAGAUUUUUUAAUUAAAAUCAAUCAAAUUAAAAGGUAUACAAAAAUAAAUCUAUAAAAAAUAUAUAAUCAAAUAUCUAUUAAAAAAAGAGAUAAAUAGAAUAUUUGAUUUCAAACUAAAUAUGAAAAUUUUGAAAAUAAUAUCAUAUCUUUUGAGAGUAUCAAUACACCAAUUUCUUUUCAAUAUCUAAUAAAUAAUAUCUUUUGAGAGUUUUGUUAUUUAUUAUCUAGACAACAUCUUAUGCUAAACUAUGAAUAUAAAAGAAUAUAAACUUCAUAUUGAUUGCAUGUUACAAAAACUUUUAGAUGCAAGAUUCUAUGCCAAGAUAAAAUAAAUAUAUAUUUCACACUUUUUAAGUUGACUUCUUAAGAUACAUCAUUUCAAAUAAUAGUUUUAUGAUGGAUCUUAAAAAAGUUAAAAAUAUUAUGAAUUGGAAGGUUCUAAGAACAUUAAUAGUUGUUUUAUAUUUUUUAAGAUUUGCUAAUUAUUAUUGAAUCUUCAUUAAGAAUUUUUCUUAAGCUCUUAUUCCACUUAUAUAUUUGAUCUAUAAAGACAAAUUUAAGUAGAAUAAAGAAACAAAAAUAUUAUUUGAAGCUUUGAAGAUAGCUUUUAUUUUUGCAUCAAUUAAGUAGUGUAUUGACUUUUUUAAAAUAUUGUUCAUAGAAAUAAAUAUAUUAAACUUUGCUUUGAGUGUAGUAUUAUUGUAAAUAGAAAUAAAUAAUAAACUUUAUUAUUUUUUUUUCAUUCAAAAAGAACUCAUAAAUAGAAAUCAACUAUAAGAUUCACAACAAAGAAGUUCUUGCAAUUGUAGAUUCAUUUAAAAAAUAGUGCCAUUAUUUAGAAGAUGUUUCAAGUCUAGUAAUUAUUUAUACAAAUCAUAAAAAACUCAAGUACUUCAUAUCAAUACGUAGUCUAAAUUAUUAUCAAGCUUGUUGAAGCAUAUUUUUGUCAAGAUUUGAAUUCAAGUUCACGUAUUGGCUAAGAAAAUAAUAAGGUUUUUUAGAUGUCUUUUUUAGGCAUUUUAUCUUAUAUCAAAAGAAGAACUUGCACCUUUAAAUCAAUAAAAAAUAGUUCUCUUAAAAUCAAAACAAUUUCAUCUUUGAAGAAUGAAAUCAACACUAAUUAUUGAUUCAACUUUUCUUAAGUAAGUUCAAUCAAGUGUGUCCUUCAAUUCUUUUAUUUAUAAUAUUAAGAAUAAUUCUUUAAAAUCUCAUGAUACUUCUAAAUUUAAAUUCAACAACAAACUAUUCUAUUUUAUAUAUUCUAGAAGGUAAAAUAUGAUUACAAUGUCAUGUGAUUACACAACUAUAUGGUAAAAAAUAAAAUAAAGAUGUUAUUAUAGAAGAGCCUAAUAAAAUAAAGAUAAAUAAUAGAAAUGAGGUCAAUAUAAGAGUUUUUAUGGAUUAUGGUCUCAAAAAAUUGAAAUUUAGGAUUAGUGAGGAAUUUUAUAAUUUGGCAAUAUCUACUUCUUCGAUUGAAGCAAAAAUUAAUGAAAGUAAUUAAAACUUGAAUACCUACACACAAUAUAAUUUUUUGGAGCAAUUGAAUAAUUCAACACAGAGAAAUCUUUGUUGAAAGAUCAAUAUUGAAGUUAAAGAAGGAGGGCGGCCAACAACUAAGAGGUUUUGAGAGCUUUUCUUGCAAUUGGUAGGUCUAAUUUUUCUUAAAUUUUGUAUGCUUGUUAAUUGCUUCUUAAUUAUAGUCUAAGUAAAAAUUUAAUUAAGAUCUAUUGUUUAAUUAAUACUACUUGAGGUUUCAAAUAGCUGUAAUAAUUGAUUAAGAUUUAAUUGGAGUUUUUUUUGGAGCUAUUUAGAAUUUAAUAGAAUUAAUCUAGGAUUUAGGAUUUUACUAGGAUUUUAUUAGGAUUGGUUUAAGAUUUAGAAUUUGAUUAGGAUUUAAGAUUUGAUUAAGGUUUGGUUAGGAUUUAGGAUUUUAUUAGGACUUCAUUACGGUUUGACUUAAGAUUUGGUUAGUAUUUUUUUGAGGUUAUUUAUUAUUUCUUCUAAGUUUUUAUUUUUAAUAUUUCUUUAAGAUUCUUUGUUAUUUCUAAGUGUCACACAUCUUAGAUUUACUUGUGCAAAAAUAAUUGCCAAUGACAGCUGAUGAGGAAAUUUUAAAUAUAAAUUUGCAUCUACUUUGGUGUUUGUGAAUGCAGCAUGUUUAAGUGCAAUCUUGAGUACAUUGGUUUUCUCAAAUCUGGUUUCAAUUACUAUGGUCAUUUUGGUUUGAACUUUGUGUGCAAUAUGUGUGUAUUUGCACUUAGCACUCUGGUUUCAAUUACUAUGGUCAUUUUGGUUUGAACUUGGUGUGCAGUAUGUAUGUAUUUGAACUUAGCACACAAGACCGCUUGGUAUUCUCCAAUUCACUUUCCUAGACAAUAACCACAGCAUGUGUAUGAUUUUAAAGAUGCAGUAUGCAUUAGUAUAAAUAUGAAAUCUUAAUGGGGCAUACAAGUCAACUUGCCUAUCUAAAUGAUCGUUUAAAUUGAAAAAUAUCAAUCUAAACAUUACCUUUCUUCAUUCAUGUAAAGAAAGGAUUAUAAAUAAAUAAAUAAAUAAACGACAACAAAAUGCCAUAUUUAUUAUCUUCAAUUUAAACUGGAGAACUGAACGAGGUAACAGUAAAAUACAUGAAAAACCAACGACCAUCUCACAAAUACUGAUGAAAAAGAAGUGAAAUUAAAAUUCACGACAUGACACGAUAAUAUCACAUUCAGGUCAUGCUUGCAAAAUAAUGCCCAAUCACAGAAAUCCCCACUACAUUGUGAAGAAAACAUUAAAUUCCAUUGAAAAAGGUAUACUACUCAUGUCAUUGUUUGAGAAAACAACAAAAGUCUCUGAAUUUAUUCUGAAGAAUGGAUUGUUGCAACAAAUCGAUGCAACUUGCAGGUUCGGCCGAGAGCCCGACAGAGGGAGGCUGCAACAGCAACGAAUUUCCCGAAUGAUAUUAACGCCCUCCGUGCAUCCCCAGAACGCCAUGCACGCAUCCGCAGCACUCAUCCGCCUCCAUGGGUUCCAACCAGGAGUGCGACGCCACGCUCUUCUGCGGCAGCGCCGAAGGAGCUGCAAAUCGGAACUUCCUCAUCGUUCUUUUGCCGGCCUACAGACGCCGCUUGGUCAGACCGCAGCCCAAGGUCUCCUUAGGCAAACUGGGCAACUUGUGGAUGCCCUCCGCGAACACGGUGCCCAUUCCCAUGUAAAAAUGUGGUUCGACAUGGCAAUGGAAAGGCCACACGCCGGGAUUAUCAGCCACAAACCGGAUCGCUACCCAUCCGUUGGGAAACACCGCCACUGUGUUGCGUAGUGGCGGAUCCACCAAGUUGAAGCUCGCAACGUCCUUUUUGAGGUCGAAUAGCCCGUCGCCGUAGCCCAUGACCCAAAAGUCGUGGCCGUGCAGAUGCCAGGGGUGGAUCUCACUGUUGUUGGGAGUGCUGAGGGUGUUGGCAUUCUGGACAAUGACAUCCACGACGAUGUCCUUCUUGAAGAUGUACACCGGGCUGCCGUAGCUGGCGUUUCGAAACGCCGCAGACGGUGGGGAAUAGACGUCGUAGUUCUUGACAGGGGAGUUGGGCGGUGGAGCGGCGUCAAUCACUCCCCUGAUCUUGUACUUCAGCGCUGCAAGGACGGGCGUGGGAUUGUGGACGUAUGAAAUGUUGUUCAAAGCCCACUUGAUGCGCCCUUCGAUGUUGUUCUGUGUGCCCAGGAUCACCACGGUGCGGUGAGAUUUCUUGGGGGGUGAUGCUUCGCAAUCGACGUUGGCAUAAAUCUUCUUCGCCAGCGCAACGCUGGUGGCGGUGUCGUUCCAGACAGGACUUACUGGAGCGGCGGUGGUGGGAAGCAGAUUCGCUGGAUUGGGCAGGUACUGCAGGAUUGCGAGACCGGUGGGCGUGGCAGGUUUCCUGCCUCGCACAUUGAUGGAAGCCCAGUAGUUCUUGGAGGCGUCUUGGUUGGCGGUGAACAGCACGUCGUAACUCUGACCAGAAUACACAUCCAGAUUGUCGACGACGAAAGGCUGGACGUUGCGAGCGUCGGCUUGGACCACCGUCAUUUUAUGGCCCUCAAGGAUAAAGUUGAGGGACGACAGGGACGCGACGCUGGCGAUGCGCAGACGGUACGUCUUUCCAGGAGUGACUGGCAACACAUGAGGUGCGCAUCUAGGGUCGGUGGAAUUGCAGACCAGGCAGCCAGGGGGCGCAGUGGUGGCAUUCUGUGGAAGUAGAGAGCAGUUGUAUCUUCCGCGACCCUCUAUCAACAAGGAUUGUGGCUCGCCCACAAAUUUGAAGGGAACGCUGUUGAGGCCGAGCUCUUGCUCGUAAACAGACUUGUGCCACCAGUCAUUGAGGAUGAUGCUGAGCUCGGCAUCGUACGAGAACGGCUCCUUCUUGCCAGCAGGCAGGUCGACGAUGAGUGAGCCGUAGAUCCCUCCCGAGCGCUGCAAUCCGAAGUGGCCAUGGUAGAAGUAGGUUCCAGCCUGCACAUCGACAACCCCGAUCUAGUUAAAUUGGUCGGACCUAGUAGCGAUCACCCACAGAAUGGAUCAAUCUGGUGCCCAGCUAAAUCUCGCACUGUCAGGGGCGAAAUCAAGGACCUCGUGAAAGAUUCAGUGCGUGCCAGUCACGGGUGACACCUACAGUGUUCACAAAGCUCACCUUGUCAACUUUGAACCUGUAAGUGAAGGUCUCCCCAGGGUUGAUGGGGCACUGGGACACAUACGCGGCGCCAUCGUAGUAAGGCGUGCCCCUCUGAUGUAUGCCAUGCCAGUGAAAUGAAACUCCUUCAGUAGGAAUAUGAUUUGUCACCUGCACCACGACUGUAUCACCUUCUACAGCACGAAUUGUUGGGGAUGGAAAUUGGCCAUUCACAGCCAGAACCAGCUUCUGCACGCAAUCAGGGGCAGCGUUCAUGUAGUCUACGUUCCAGUCAUAGCUCACUACAGCUGCUUCCGCUUGCACCGCAAGCAUCAACGUCACCAACGCCAGACAUCCCACCCGAACAAGGGUGUCCUUCAGGUCCUGCAUCGUUUCUCACCGGACACUGGUAGCUCUGGACGCUAGUAGCACCUAAGCAAAAACGCAAGUCCGUCUGUGGACUUGAUGCUGAACUCUGGGUGCUGGUAUCAGCAGCUGGAGACGGAGUGGCGCAGCACUUCUGGGGAGAAGUCGGGGUUGAAUAUAAACUGGUUGGAUGAGUCGCAUUUGAACAUGUUGAUCGAGUGAUCUGUUGGGAUUCCAGUCGGAGGCCGCGUUGUAACGACUUCAGCUUGGCGCCACGGCUCGGCGAUGUAAUUCACGAUUGACCUCGAUUGGCUGGAGACCCUAGUGCAUAGACUUGUGCGGCAUGUGCAAAUCCGAUUGUUUGACUCAUGCCUUAUUGUGCGGCGGUUCUUCAUGGAUCUUUGUGGCGAGCAGAUUUGGAUGUGCUGUAAGCUUUAUUGUCCCUCUUUGCUUGGGGAGUAGCACUGUCGAAAGUGUUGUGCACGUAAGGAGAACCUUGAAAGUCAAUUGCGAUCUGCAUCUUUAGGGGUUAAGGCAAAGUUCCGCCGCCUUGGCUAGCAUGCUUUAUUUAUUUAUUUUUGGAAAAUGAGUAGGUUCAUAUUGUAUACCUUCUUGUAUGGCUCCAAUAUUGAGUGGCUUAUACAUACCAGGAGGAGGCCGUAUCCUCAUUUCAUACACUUGCUUAAAAUUGUAAUCCCAAAGUUUAUUUUUUCAAGUCUUUUCAAAUUUCUUUAAACAUUGUUUUUUUGUUUCGGAAUUUUGUUAUAGAUCAGGUUAAUGUCUUUUUGCAACAUGCUCCAUAACCUAACCUAUUAUUUUCUUUCAUCUAUUUAUUCAUAUGUCUUGCAUAUAGAUCACAUUAUUUCAUUGUUUUUAGAUACUUCAAAAUAUAAAUCAACAAUGAUAGGUUAUAACAUUUUUAUGUCUUUAAUGUGAUUAAGAAUUCUUCUAAAUAUAAGUUAUUAGAGAUGAAGUACUAGCCAUAGUGUAUCUCUUGGACCUUGCUUUCUGAGUUAAUAAAAAAUAAUGAUUAUCUAUUUCCUUACCUAUUUAUUUUUGGAUAUUUUUAAAUUUAGAAUUUUACUUAUUGCCUAAUUUAAUAAAAUAAAUAUUUUACAUUUUUUAGCAGAUAUAUUUUAGAAAAUCUUAAAUAUAAGUUAUUAUUAAAAUAAACAGUGGAAAAAAGAGUUAAAACAAGAAGGAAAAAUAUUAGUAUGAAAAGUUAAAACAAGAAGAGAAGACUUGAUUGUAAAAGAUGUUAGAUGAAGAAGACAAAGAAGUAGAAGAAGAGCUAAUAUAAAAAGGAUUAGAAGGAAAAAGUUAGGACAUUAAUGUAAAUAGAAUAGUCAUUAGCCGCACAUGUAUUAUAAUAGAUAAGGUGGUUAAGCUACCUUAGGUAGGUAAGAUAAUUAGAAAUAAAGUGGUUUUAGUAAAUUCAAAGAAUACUAAAUAAAAUUUAUUAUAGAUCAGUUAUAAAUAACGACAAAUUUUUAUUAUAAUUAUCAUAAAAAAAUUCAUAAUAAAGAAUUUAUAAUUAUUAUUCUAUUAUAUUUUUCUAUUAAUUUUUUUUAGAUCAAUUAAUAAGUCAUAAGUAUUCUAAGGUAGGAAUCAUAAAGAUUUUUAGGAUUCUCAAUAUAAAAAAGAAAGAACUUAGAAGACUAGAUUAAUGGCAACAAAAUUAGAUUUAUCAAAAGAAAGUUAUGUUCUACUUUGAAGUAAAUAACAUCAAUAGAAUACUUUAAUUUUGUCAAAGAAAGAACUUAAAGAAGAUAUUGAAGAAUUAAUAUGACCAAGAUUAAUUUAGAGUUUAAAAGCUAAAUGAAUGACUUCAACUAUAAUGUUGAAUUUAAUUCUAAGAACUUACAUCAAAACCACAAUUAUUGAAAGACAUAGAAUGAUCUUUGUUAAGAAUAGGUGUCACGGACAUACUCACGUAAGCUAGUAAUUACAUAUAUAAAUAAGUGGAAGUAAGUAAAAUUAGGUAAAAGUAAGUUAAUUCUAUAGUAUUUAAUUUGGAAGCUUCCCAGAAGCUUCAUAGAUGCUGUUUUGACUUCAUAGGUGUCUUUAAUUGACUUUUUGGAUUAAAAACAUGGUCAACAAGUUGGCCAUGUGCCACACAUGUUGUUAGCUUGAAGAUCAAGCUAACUAUGUGGCCCACACGUAGAAAAACUUGCCUUAUAAGUCAAGGCAUGUGUCCUACAAAGUCAACACAUAUUGAAGGUCCUAUAGAACAUUGCCACAUAGCCCCUAAUUAGAUAAUAUAUAUAGAGACAAGAGUGAAGCCUUCUUCACUCUUGUCAACUUCUUUCUUGCUUCUAGUCUAGUUUCAAGGGUCUCUAAUUUUCUUGUCUUUUGGCAAUAGCCAUUCCAGUUUCUCAUCAAUAUACAUACUUGUUUAUUUAGAUUUUAUUACCUUUCUUUGAGUGAAGGCUCACUUGUCUGAAUUUCUUUUUAUUGAGUUCUUGCCCUUGACAAAUUGACAAGGAUACACAUAUAAUAUCAGAGCUUUGUCUAAUCUUGAUUAAGAGUGGAUUACCUCUUUUUUUUGAUAAGAUAUAAGCAUAUUAGAGGUUGCAGAUUACCCUCUUCUAAACUGAUAUUGUCCUUAGUAUUUUUUUUUAUUCCCAAGUCCUCUCUUCUAUUUGUCUUGAGCGAUAUUAGACAUCUUCUCUCUUCUAAGUGUUAUCAUGAGAGAACUUGUUGAAAUGAAGAGUGCAAUGGCACAAAUGCAAGAACAAUUGAGGGAAUUAAUACUUGCGAUGCAUCAACUUAAUUUACCACUACAAGGAGUAACAAGAUUGGCAGGAAGUGAAGAUAUAGAAAUGGUUGAAGCUACUUCAACAUCUGCACCAAACCAUGUCCUUUUUCCUAUGGUGGAACGUCCUUCAAAUGUUAGAGAACCAAGAAUUACCCUACCCGAGAAGUUUGAUGGCACCAGAUCCAAGUUUCAAGGAUUUAUCAAUCAAGUACAACUUGUGAUUGAACUUCAACCCCAAAGCUAUCCAACUCUAGGAUCGCAAGUUAGAUUCAUUGGUAUGCUUCUUUCAGGUUCAGGACUAUCGUGGUUUUCAUCUUUUUUUGAAUGACGAGAUCCAAUAUUGGAUAAUCUAGAGGCUUUUUUGGCAGAGUUUUGAUCCAUGUAUAGAAAACAUGAUGCAAUUUGUGUUGCAACCAAUAAGAUCCAUAUUUUAUGACAAAACAAUCGAUCAGUAACGUUGUACGCUUCACAAUUUCAACAACUUGCAACUGAUAUCAAGUAGGAUGAUGCUGCACUUAUUAGCCAAUUUCUCUACGGAUUACAAUAUGAGGUAAAAAAAUUAAUGCUCAACUUAUCUGAUCUUCAAACAUUGAGUCAAGCAAUUGACUUUGCUGUAAAGUGCAACAAUCACCUUUUUGAAUUCCGAUCUGAGAACCGUACAAGUGGACCUCAACGUUACUAUAAUUCAAUGGCAACACCAACACCCCUUCAAUAAAUACAUUCGGAAGUAGAGGAUAUGUAAAUUGAUGCAGUACGUUUCAAACCUCUUACUGAGCAAGAAAAGACUCGUCGUCGUCAAGAAGGAUUAUGUUUAUAUUGUAGAGAACCAAAGCACACUGCUCAACAUUGUCCAAAGAAACGAUACAAUCACAAAAUGAGGAGUAUGGCUGUGAAAGAAGAUAAUAUGUUGGAAAACGAGUUUGUCCAGCUACAAUAGGGACCGUGCGGCUGGAACCUUGCACAAUAUCUAGUAAAGGUCCUAUUCUCUCCUCAGAGCCCUCUCCUUGUUUUACAUUAAAUGUUAUUUUAGGAUCUAAACAUUACAAAGUCUCUGCCUUGUUAGAUUCAGGAGCCUCAUCAUGUUUUUUAGAUGAAGAAUUUACAAAAAGACAUAGCAUAUCUUUAGUAAAGAAAACUAAACUUAUUCAUGUAGAAGUCAUAGAUGGUCGUCCAUUGUCUUCUGGAGAUAUUACUCAUAAAACCUUUCCUAUAGAAGUAAUAAUCAAUAGUCAUAAUAGCUUUGUAGUAUUUAAUAUCAUUAGAUCUCCCUCUAAUCCAGUCAUUUUAGGUUUAUCGUGGUUAGGAAAAUACAACCCUCAAAUAGAUUAGAUUUCUCGAACUCUUACUUUCUCUAAAAAUAUAACUAAUAGUGUAGUUAAUCAAGUAGAGAGUCAUAAAUCCAGUUCAAUUAAAUCCGUAUUUAUAGGUACAAAAGCUUUCUUGCAUGCUGCUAUGAAAGAAUCACCAUAUAUUAUUUAUGCCACACUUGUUUCUAUUGGUGAAAAGACUUCAAGUGGCAUUCUAAGCCAAUAUCAAGAAUUUUAAGAUGUAUUUGAAAAAAAGAAUGCGAAUACACUUCCAGAACAUUGUCCCUAUGAUUGCUCAAUUGACCUUCAAGAAAAAGCACAACCACCAUUUGGACCAAUCUAUAAUUUAUCACAAAAUGAGUUGAUUGAACUCAAGGAGUAUAUUGAAGAAAAUCUAGCGAAGAAUUUCAUAUGCCAUUUUAAAUCUCCGGCAGGAGCUCCAAUUCUAUUUGUGAAGAAAAAAGAAGGAUCAUUGCGGAUGUGUAUUGAUUAUCGAGGACUUAACAAGAUUACCAUCAAGAACAGGUAUCUACUACCUUUAAUAUCUGGACUUCUUGAUGAGCUGAAUCAAGCUAAGAUCUAUACAAAAAUAGAUCUUCGGAGAGCAUACAAUCUAGUACGUAUCAAAGAAUGAGAUGAAUGGAAGACUAUGUUUCGAAUUAGGUAUGGACAUUUUGAAUACAACGUCAUGCCUUUUGGACUUACAAAUGUACCAGCAGCUUUUCAACAUCUAACGAAUGAUGUUUUUCGAGAGUUUUUGGACAAUUUUGUAGUCUGUUAUCUAGACGACAUUUUGAUCUAUUCUAAGAAUUCAGAAGAACGUGAACUUCAUGUUCAUCGUGUGUUACAAAAAUUAAGAGAUGCAGGACUCUAUGCCACAAUAGAAAAGUGUGUAUUCUACACUACUCAAGUCGAUUUCUUAGGUUACAUCAUUUCAAAUGAUGGACUUAUGAUGGAUCCUAAGAAAGUUCAAAUUAUUAUAGAUUGGAAGAUCUCAAAAAUAAUAAGAGAUGUCCAAUGUUUUUUGGGAUUUUCCAACUACUAUCGAAUCUUCAUCAAAGACUUCUCUCGAGUUGUAGCUCCACUUACACAUUUGACUUGUAAAGACAAACUCCAAUGGAAUCAAGAAGCGAAAGUUGCUUUUGAAUCUUUGAAGACAACGUUUGUUUCUACACCAAUCUUGUAUUGUGUUGAUUUUUCCAAAGCAUUCUUUAUGGAAACAGAUGUAUUAGACUUUGCUCUAGGUGCGGUUUUAUCACAAAUGGAAAUAGAUGACAAACUUCAUCCAGUAGCCUUUCAUUCAAAAAAAUUCUCAGUAGCAGAAAUCAAUUAUGAGAUCCAUGACAAAGAACUUCUUGCAAUUGUGGAUUCUUUUCAAAAAUGGCAUCAUUAUCUAGAAGGCGCUUUCAGUUCAGUCAUCGUGUAUACGGAUCACAAGAACUUCGAAUAUUUUAUGUCAACAUGCAUAUUAAAUUGUCGUCAAGCUUGUUGGAGCAUGUCUUUAUCAAGAUUGGAGUUCAUCAUCACUUAUAAGCGAGAAAAACAACAAAGUUUGUCCGAUGCAUUGUCUAGAUGUUCUUAUCUUGCACCAAAAGAAGGAGAUGCAGCUUUUGAGCAACAAAGAAUGGUUCUCUUGAAGCCGGAGCAAUUUCAUCUUUGAGCAAUAAAAUCAACAUUGAUUGUUGAUUUAACUUUUCUUAAGUAAGUCCAGUUAAGUAUGUCUUCAAACCCUCUUAUUCAUGAUAUCAAGAAUAAUUCUUCUAAAUCUCAUGAUCCUUCUAAAUUUGAAUUUAAGAACAACCUACUCUAUUUCGAAGGACGUCUACAUAUUCCAAAAAGAGAAGCACGUUUACGUGUUCUUCAAGCUUGUCCCGACUUCCCAGCAGCAGGACAUUUCGGAUAUAAUAAGACUUUGGAACUGAUAUCUACGGAUUUUUGGUGGUCUCAAAUGUGGAAGGCAGUUAAAGAUUUUGUACAAUCAUGUGAUGUUUGCUCAAGAUCAAAAACUCCUCGUCAUCGACCUUUUGGACUUCUUCAGCCAUUAUCCAUUCCAAAACAACCAUGGUCUUCUAUUUCUAUGGACUUCAUCACGGAUCUUCCAAUCUCAGGUUCUUAUGACUCUAUAUUCAUGAUAGUAGAUCAUUUUACCAAGAUGGCACAUUUUCUACCAUGUACAAAAUCUAUCACAAGUGAAGAAAUAGCUAAGCUCUUUCUUGACAAUAUCUAUCGCUAUCAUGGAUUAUCCAAGGAUAUUAUAUCAGAUAGGAGAACUCAAUUUGUAUCAAGAUUUUGGAGGACUCUUUUCAAGAUUCUUAAAGUGGAUAUAAAACUAUCUUCAGCAUUCCAUCCUCAAACUGAUGGACAAACGGAGCAUGUUAAUUAAGUUUUGGAGCAAUAUUUAAGAUGUACCAUUAAUUACCAACAAGAUGAUUGAACAACUCUUUUGCCAUUGGCAGAGAUUGCUUACAAUAACACGGUACACUCUUCUACAAAACAAACACCUUUCUUUGCUAAUUAUGGUUAUCAUCCAGGACUUGAUACUUUUGACUUUUCAAAAGUUGAUAAUCCUGUUGUGAAAGAUUUGGCGAUUCAUUUAUCAGAGCUACAUGCAACGAUGAAGGCGCAGUUAAAAGACGCUCAAGAACAACAAAAUGUCAAUGUAGAUGUCUAUCGAAAGGAACAACCACCAUUCUUCUUGGGUGGUAAGAUAUAGCUACUUUGUCGCAAUAUCAAGACCACUCAUCCUUGUAACAAGUUGGACUAUCGAAGACUGGGACCAUUUUCUAUUUCUGCUCAAAUCAAUCCAGUUGUAUAUUAUUUAUAUCUACCGGAGUCAAUGAAAAUCCAUCCAGUAUUCCACGUAUCUCUUCUUGAACCAUACAAGACAGUGGACAUACCAAGAAGACGACAAGCUCCACCUCCUCCUAUAGAAGUAGAUAAUAAUGUAGAGUUUGAAGUAGAAGAAGUCUUAGAUUCAAGGCUGCGCCGAAAUAAAUUAGAAUAUCUUGUCCAUUGGCACGGAUAUGGUAUUAGUGAACGCACAUAGGAGCCAAUAAAGAAUCUUGUAAAUAUAACAAAGUUGGUAGAGGCUUUUCAUCGACGACAUCUAUCAAAAUCAAGAUGAAAACCUUCCUUAUAAAAGAAACAACAUCUAGGCAAGAUAACAUUCUACUUUCACUCCUUGUUCGUAGCUUCUUUGUAGUUGUGAUGCUCAGGAGAUGGAGAACCAACAAUCAGUGGAUUCGACUUAAGAGCCUUUAUUUGUUGACCUACCAGACAAGACAUUACGAUUGUCACAACCUUCAAGACGACACAAUCGAGAUGAAGAUCUUCAAGAAUGACAUAUUUUUCUUCGAAUAGAUGGCGAGAUACAAUGCGUUUGGUAUCAUGAUUUGUGAAGGGACUCCCGAUGUUUGGUGAUUUUGCUAGAGGUAGGAACAACUCCUGAUGGUAUUUCAAAUGUUCUAUUUGAAGGAAGUUAUGAAGGCCUCAACAAUGAUCAAAUAAUUGGGUGGUCUUCUCGCCUUGGUAUGGGACACUACCGAUGGUUGAGAGGCCCUAUCAAUCAUCUUCGAAGAGAACAAAGAUCAGAGUAUGUGGCGAAUAUAAUUCAUCGCAUCAUAGAUUUUCUCAACAUAUAGUGACUACUCCUCGUAGAACUCGUCCCUAGAAAGGGGGGUAAUGUCACGGAUAUACUCAUGUAAGCUAGUAAUUAUAUAUACAAAUAGGUGGAAGUAAGUAAAAUUAGGUAAAAGUAAGUUAAUUCUAUAGUAUUUAAUUUGGAAGCUUCCUAAAAGCUUCAUAGAUGUUGCUUUGACUUCAUAGGUGUCUUUAAUUGGCUUUUUGUAUUAGAAACGUGGUCAACAAGUUGGCCAUGUGCCACACAUGUUGUUAGCUUGAAGAUCAAGCUAACUAUGUGGCCCACACAUAGAAAAACUUGUCUUGUAAGUCAAGGCAUGUGUCCUACAAAGUCAACACAUAUUGGAGGUCCUGUAGAAUGUCGCCAUGUAGCUCCUAGUUAGAUAAUAUAUAUAGAGACAAGAGUGAAGCCUUCUUCACUCUUGUCAACUCCUUUCUUGCUUCUAGUCUAGUUUCAAGGGUCUCUAGUUUUCUUGUCUUUUGGCAAUAGCCAUUCGAGUUUCUCUUUUAAUAUACAUACUUGUUUAUUUAGAUUUUAUUACCUUUCUUCGAGUGAAGGCUCACUUGUCUGAAUUUCUUUUUAUCGAGUUCUUAUCCUUGACAAUAGGUAUAAGUAUAGAGAUAGCUCUUAUGUAAAAAUAUAGAAAGAAUAUUCUAUAAUUCUUUAGAUGUAAGAAUCUAGGUAUCACGAAUAUACAUACAUACUCUAAUAAAUGCCUAUAUGAUUAGAUCAAAAUAAUUAAAAAUAAAUAAAAGUAGAUUAAUUUCAUAAUACCUUCUAGAGAAGCUUUAUAGAUGCUGAUUUGUCUUAACAUGUGUUUGUAGUUGAUUGAUAAGCUAAAAAUUUGGUCAGCAAGUUAACCAUGUGUUGGUAGCUUACAAAACAAGUUAAUUAUGUGGUGCUUAUAUAAAAAGCUUGUCUUGCAAGUUGAAAUAUGUGUCUUGUAAAGUCAACACAUUUUGGAGGUUCUAUAGGAUAUUACCAUAUAGCUCUUAAUUAAGAGUAUGUAUAGAGGCAAGAGCAAAGCUUUCUUCAUUCUUGUCAACACCUUUCUAAUCUUUAGUCUUAUUUCUAGACUUUCUAGUCUUCUUGUUUUUGGCAAUAGCCAUUCUAAUAUAUCAUCUUUGAGUGACUUUCUAGUUCUUUUCAGUGUCACAAGAGUAUAUUGAGGAUAUCUUUCUUUAAGAUUCAUGUCCUUGACACUAUGUGUUUAUUUAGUGACUAUGUUACAAACAUGUUGCUAUUGCUAGUAAUCAAGUCCAUAGACUUACAACUUAAAUAAAUACACUCAAUGAAGAUUGGUAAUAUUCUUGAAUAAUAUCUAUCAAGUUUAUCAAGAAUAUUAAGAACCAUAAACAAUGAUGAUAUAAAGCAAUUAUAUAUUGCACAUUAAGCAAUGAGAAAUAAACAAAUAUGUAAAAAAGAGAAAAGAAUAGCAUUUGAUUUUACUCAAAAGAAGAAAAAAAAAAAAAAAAAAAAAAAAAAAAACAUUGAAGAAGGAUCUAUAUCAAUGUAUGUUGAAUGAAGGUCAAUUCUUAUAAAUAAGAAACCUCUCUAGAUUAAAGAGCUUUUGAAGCCAUCUAAACUUCAUAAGUAAAAAAAACCAAAUAGGAUAAAAAUUCAAUAAAAUUUGAAAAAAAAAUGAUGAAUCAAUAUUAAAAAUAAAAUUAAAGACUAUUAAAGAUAGAUAUUUUAUCAAGUUAUGAGCGGAGAAGCUAAAUCUCCUAGAAGUCCAAGGACUCUAAAGAAACAAGAUGCUGCUUAAUAUCAUAUAUAUAUAAAUUAUAUAAUAUAAAAAAAAAAGAUUAAAUAAAAAAGAUAAGAAUUGAUAAACAAAAUGUUGAAAGAAAAAAAAAUCACAAUCAAAGAGAAGGUUCAUCUAUAAUUUUCAAUUAAAGAAUCUCAAAGAAGAUAUAGGUUUUCAUAAUAAAGACCAUACAAAUUUGAUAAGUAUUGAUAAUACUAGUACAGAAGAAAGGAGAAGUCUUUUGAUCAUAGAAUAAUUCACAUAUGAAUUUAGACCAAUUCAAAUGCACUUAACUACAAGUAUAAUACCAAGAUAAUUUUUGAUACAACUUUUUAGUUUAUCUAUACAAUAACAUCAAAGGAUAUCAACUAAAAUAGUAUUUAUAAUUAGACAUAUAAAAGCUAAGUUUUUUAAAUUCAAAGAUAAGGAUAAUUUAGAUAUUUACAUAAGAAAAUUUAAUAAUAUAUGUUAAGCUUAUAGAAAAAUAACAUAUUUUUUUUUUUUCUAAGUAACUUAGAAAGAACUUCAAGAUUGAUUCAUCAUUUGAUUAAGAAAAAAGUAAUGGAGAACUUAUUGAUAAUCUUUCAUACCUCAAAUAAAUGAAUAAUAAAGACAUAGAAGAUUUUCUUAAGCAAAUAAUACAAGCCAUAAAUAAACUUAUUCCUCAAUUUUAUAACUUAUUUAAAAAGAUAAAGUUCUUGAAUAAACUAGGGAUAGAAGUACAUAAGUACAUAGCCUUAUUACUAAUUGAUGCAUUAGAGAAAGCCUUAUAAUCAAUAAAAACGAUGGAACUAUGUAUACAUAGAAAAAACAAGGUCUUAUGAUAUAGAUUUUAGCACCUCAUGUGAUAAUUUAAAUGAAGAAGAAAAGAAGAAAGUAACAAAAAGGAUAAAAAAGACAACUAAAGAAGAUUUAAAAGAAUUAAAAGAAGAAAUGGCUGAAUUGAUAAGUGAAUUAAAUAAAUUUAUGGCUAGAAUGGUUUUUGUAAGUAUAAUAAUAAAAAUAUUUUUCUUUUUAAAUAUCAUUUAAUUAUUUAAAAAAAUUAUAAUAUUUAAAUUUAUUAAUCAAUAAUUUUAUAUAUAAUCAUUAUUAUUAAGAUAAAAGUCUAGCAAUUAAUUAAGUACAACCGAAAUUAAAUAAGAUGAAGAGAAGAAAACCUAUGAAAAGAAAUUUACCUAUGAAUUUAGAUAAAAAUUAAGGACCCUCAAAUCAAAAAUAUUUUAAGCAGCUAUAAUACUACGCCCUCACAACUUUCAGCACACAAUUACCCUUGUUCCAAUCACUGGAAUUCUUCAUACAGAACUGCCAUUCACAUUACAGUAUUUUACACAAACACAGAUUCAUUCUCUAUGCUGAACUACAAUCAGAUUUUAGCAUUCAAUCUUUUUUCUUCUCAAAUAAUACCAAUCAUAUUUCCAUUCCAUAAUUCACUUCAUAAUAUUCAGAAACUUUCAAUCCUCUUAUUCAAAGAAAAUAACAAACAAAAGAAAAGAGGUAGCACCAAGCUUACCUCGGCUCACACUAUCACAGCGAUGGUCCUCGGCUCAUGACUAUCACAGUCUGGCCCUUGGCUUACGAAUCUCACAGUUUGGUCCUUGACUUACGACUCUCACUGUCUGGUCCUUGACUUACAACUCUCACAGUCUGGCACCCUAAUUAACUUCUACAACUCCUAUAUACUUUCCUCUGAUUCUCCAGAUUCUAAUCGUAAUUCUAUAAUUAAUCACUUUUAAUAACUAAAUCACUCAUCUGUCCUCCUAAAUUUCCUAUUAUAUGGACUAUUAAUAUAUUUUAUCAAUAUCUUUCAAAAAUGAAUUAAUAUCUAUUUUACAUAGUCCCACUCUUAUCUAUGUAGCUUCCUUGCAAACACUCAAUUGAUACCUAUCUAAAAAUUAUCUAACAAAACCCUACAAAAAUUGCGAUCCCUCUGGCCUAUCUAAUUAAUCAAUUGCCACAAUAUCUGUUAUUGGUUCCACCGAUUCCGGUUCCAACUGCAAAUCUUCGUCCUCUUCCAAUCCUUCCAUCGACUCCUGCCUCAACUAAGCUGAAAGGUCUUCAUUGUAUUCGCCGAGUUUACGAACUUGAGCUUCUAAUUUUAGGAUCUGGGCAUCUCUCAAUUCCAACUGGCACUGAAAGUGAUUCCUCUCUUCUGGAACUUUGAGAACUCGCAACAUCGAUACUUGUGCUUGACCAAUAUUGACUAAAUCCUCUGCCAAUCUUAUCACCUCGGCGUUCAAGGCCUCAAUUUCAGCCCUUAACUACUCCGUUUCACAUUUGUAUUGGUUACUCAAUACCAAUUUCUCUUGCGCCAAUAACUUGGCAUUUUCUCAUUCUAUUACUAAUUCAUCCUUUGCUUUUUCUAGUUCCAAAAUUGAAUUACUCCGAGCCCAGAAUAGUUCUUGCCUAUGGAUCUCCACCAUGCGUUCUCUUUCUUGUCACUGGCUCCUCACUGUUAACUCUUAACUGGAACUACUACGCUCGAAAACACAAAAAAUACAAGAAAAUGGCAGUCCAGCCAACCCAAAACAAAACCACAGAAUGACUUUAACUGGUGCCCCACUCCUAUUCUUUUACUUGGUGGUGAUAAUGACAACAUGUUACUCAUAUUGUUCGUGAAAGGUAAUGAGAAGUAAUCUUUCUUGGUGGCCACAUUAAGUUUCCGAAAAUCCUGACAAUUCCCAUUCUUUUUCGGUACCAUCACGAUUGACAAAAGUCAUGCAGUAUGCGGAACAUGAUAAAUAAAACCCACGUCAAGAAGUUUAUCCAAUUCCUCUUUCACUAAAAAGGAAUAUUUUGAGUUAAGCUAGUGUUGUCUUUGAUAAACUAGUAUAACAUCCUCCUCCAAAAUAAUCUGGUGCUCACACACGUCAACUGGAAUCCCUUUCAAAUCCGCAUAUGACCACACAAAGGUAGAUUUGUGAUGGACAAAAAAUUGUUAUCAAGUAUCUAAUUUUGUACUGAUAAUAUCGACAUAUAUUUUAAUUAGCUGUGGCAUUUCAUUAGUGCCCAGGUUAAUAGAUUGACACACAGGGUCUUCAACAACCUUUGAUUUAAUUGUCUUCUUCUAAUCUAAAUAUCUUGUAUUAUUCGACAUAUGAGAACCACUCAAAUCUGGUUCUAAUGUGUUGAUUCUAUUGACUGUGGAAUUGUUCAUCCAUUUGAUAAUAGCAUGAUCCGAGUUAGUCACAUCCUCCUGAUGUAAUAAAUAUUUGCCAGGACCUCCACAUUGGUAGACUCCUGCCUUUGCUGUUGAAGUGUUUUGUCCUACCCCAAAUUGUGAUGAACCUAUAGCAUCGUCAUCUGCCUCAAUUGAUUGACUCUCAUUGUCCGAUGUAAAUUCUGAUUCUGGUAAUUGUGAUUCUCUAUGAUAUUGUACUGGAUACAUCUGUAGAACAUUCUGGUCCCGACCUUUUCCAAUUGUCAAUGUGCCUCGGCCCCAAUCAUUCUUAGCUUUGGCUUGAUAAAGCCAAGGUCUGCCCAAUAAAAUGGGAUACGAUAACAUAGAACUCUGUAAUCGAAAUACAUUAUAAGCGAUUUUAUAUGUCAAUCCUGCGAUUACAGUAGCAAUAUUGCGUAAGAUUCCCAUUGGCUUUUCCUGACUAUGAUCUACCAUUCGCAAGACCAAUGUAGUAGGUAACAAUUGUUUUAGAUCCAAGUCCUCUAUUGCAUCCAUGUUCAUUAAAUUCACACUACAGCCACCAUCGACUUGUAUCCCUAGAAUUAAAAUGCCAUCGAUUGAUACAUCGAUUGUUGGUGCUCUCGGAUCUGGGUUUAAGCUAACUUCAUGAAUUUUUUUAGUGCGGGAUCUUCGUCGUAUUAACACUGAAUUCAAUGUAGAUUGAAAUUCUGGUACUACAGCCAAAAAUUACUUCAUUAUAAUUGAAGGCUGAAUAACAUCCAAAUCCUUCAAAAUGUCAUAGGAUUCCAUAUUUAGGGUAAUUCCCAAUGCUCUUUUACAUUUCAUUAAUUUUGAUUUUACUCCGUGAGGUAAGAUAUUCUUCCGCCCUGGACUCGGAAUUGGAACAGCAACUGGAGCUUCCUUGGAAUUCCCUCCCCUAAGAAGAUCUUUCAACAGAUAGGACAUUUCUCGAAACUGUGUAGAGAUCAGAAUCACUUGGAACGGAACUAAAGCCUCCGUAAUUGGGACCUCAUUGGGUUGUGCCACCGAGUCAGGUCUCAUAUUGGGUACAAAGCCCGUAACAAGACCUGGAUUGUUUGGUCCCGGCCAAUUGGUACGUGGAACCAAAUUAGGUUCCUCAAUUUGUUGAGGUCUCAAUAUUGAGAUAUGUCCCAAUAUUAAUAUUGGUUCGUUUAGCCCGGUGGACGGUGCUACUUGCUCUCCUAUGAUUGGUUCAUCCAUGUCCUGAAUUGGAUUCUUGUCUUUUUGUUGGCCUUUGGUAAGCAUUGCGUUCACCACCUCGACAUGAUGUACUGGUGCGUCUUGUUGAACAGGGCCUUUGUCCUCCGUCGAUUGCCUUGUUUGCAUUUACUGGUCCUGGUUAUUAUAAUUAAAGGACGCAUUACACUGCUGAUAAGUGUGACCAGACAGCUUACAAUUUCCACAUAUUGGAGCAUAGUCAUCACUAGCCAUUACAUUAGGACAUUCACUCGCAUAAUGUUCGAUUUGUUUGCAACGAUAGCAACGAAGUAGUCUCCUGCCAACUCCUUCAAGGAUAAUGGAUGUCUCUACGCGUAUAUAACGGCUAGGUCUGUUCCAUGUUGGAUGAGUAAAAGAUCCUGAUUGACCUAUUGUUACUGUAGAGUCUGGCAUUGGCUUCAUCACAGGUGGAUAUUGAUAGUAUCUUAGUUGGUUCAUUGCCAAUCUGUGAGUAUUGCAUACACCUUCUUGGUGAAAAUCAUAGUUUAGAAAAUUGAAAUAAUUCCUAUUUUGUUUAUUCCCUCGAUUUCCAUUCCAGCCAAAUCUAUUUUCUGUUUGCACUUGAUUGACAUCCCAUUGAGUUCGUUGAGUCAUUAUCUAGUGAUUGAGUUGUUGUUGCUUCUGUAAAUUCUAACAGUUGGUGGUAAUAUGCUUGCCCCUGCAACAGGUACAUUGUAUAGUCAUUUGGGGUGGUAAAGGACAUUCUAUUACUAAAUGACCUUGCCCCUUACAAUUGCUGCAUUAGACAUUGGGACACAUAUUGGUUGGUUUAUGCCUUUUUUCUAUAUUCUUGGCCAGAUUUACAGCCAAUUCAUCCAUUUUUUUCAUCAAUGUUAACAGCAAUGGCUCAUUGGGAUUCCUUGAUAUCAAUGCAUUUGGCAAUUUCUUUGUAGGUUUUUGAUACGCAGAAUAAAGCACAUAUAGGUGUGAUGAUGAUGGUGGUACAGCUUGCAAUGGAAUGGCAUCCACUAUUCUCUGUGGAAUUAUACCAUAAUCAUUCCUUCCCAAAUAACUUUCCGAUGCGUCAUUCCAAUUUGUCAUUUGAUAACCUCCUUGAGAUGGAAUCAUUGUGGCUCCAAUUGUUAAGUUCUGGUCAUAGUGACAUUCUUUCCAUACUUUUGCUUGCUUAAGAGAUGAUGCAAUGGUGGCUGAUUGAGCCUCUUUUACAAACAUCUUCAAUUUUAGUGGGUGUAGUCCAUUAACCAAUAUGGACAACACAAACGAUUUUUACAUUUGGUUAUUUGGCCAUUUUCAAAAUAUAUCUACUACACGACCAUAAUAUGACUAUACCGCUUCCCCUGGUACCAUUUUACAGGUCAUUAAUUUUUCUCUAAGACGUUCUUCAAAACCAAUUGGUCGAAAAUGGAUUAAAAAUGUAUUUUUCAAUGCCUCCCAAUUGAUAAAUUGUCCCAUAGGUUGGCGGUUAUACCAAUCAAACGAUGUGUCUUUCAAUGUCGCUGGCAGCCAUCUUAACCAAAUGUCUUCUGUUCUGCCAUUAUUGGCUACACAUGUCGUCAAGAAUUGAGAUAAAUAUUGAUCUGGAUCUGCACUUGGCAAACCCCAAAAAGUAGGUAGUGGCACGAUACUAGUCAUACAAUCGCCUACUGCACCCAUUUGUAUUGCAAUUAAAACGGCUGGUCCUCUUGACGCCAUUGAAUUUCUUAUUCUACUAAAUUCUAUUUUAAAAUAAUCUCUGCUUUUCCUUAUUCUUAUUUUCGAGCUCUCAUUGGCCCUCGAUUUAUUGUUAUUUUCCACAAUUAGUUUUAUUGGUUGAAUUGUAGGUAAAAACGUCAGAUUUUAAAAUACAAUAUAGUUAUUUUUAUUGGCGACCAAUUUGUGCCAAUCUGAAGAGCCACUAUUGCUCAUUUCAGCGGUACUCCCUACUAAAAAAAUACCCAAUGGAGUACCAAAUUCUUCUAUGCCUCCUCUUUCAGUUAACGGCCUCAAGAUUUUCACUCGAAUGUUAACAUAAUUUUUCGCGAGUGUUCUUGGCAGUUUUUCUAACGGUACAUACGACUGCAGAUUUAAUACUUUGUCCGGUUCUUGAUAUGUUCGGAUACGUUGACAAGCUUGCAACCAUGGUUUAAUCCAAUACUGUCGAUGCUUCCUUUUAAGAUUACGUUCUUGCUCCUCUCUAAGCAAGUUCCUUCCUUGCGCUCUUCACUAUCUUUCUCACAACUGAUUUAUUUUCUUUGAUGCAAUGCUCUCGUUCUUAUUAACCAUAAUCUUACUUCAAACACUACUGAAAUCGUCUUUCAUUGCCAAUUUUCUCACACGUUUGGUAAUUAAUUCCUAACACUCAAAGCUAUUAUCACUCCCCGGUAGUGGUGCCAAAAUGUGAUUGCUCGUUUUACUUAUUCCAGAAGAAACCUCCCAGCAUAAACCCAUAUAGGGGGAUUCGAACAUGGAGAAUGACUAGUUGCUUAAGCGUUCACGUUAGGAUCAUACAAUCAAUUAUCUCUUGAAUGUAUUGUCUCUAUUUCCAAUAUCUGAACACACAAGGAAACUAUAAUCUCCUCCUUCACCUUAUCGGUCUCUUCCUUACAGCAAUUCAGUCAUAUUGCUAUUUCUACCAAUAUAUUCACCCUCAUAAUCUCCAACUGUAAUACUGCGCCCUCACAGUUUUCAGCACACAAUUACCCUCGUUCCAAUCACUGGAAUUCUUCACACAGAACUGCCAUUCACAUUACAGUAUUUCACACAAACACAGACUCAUUCUCUCUGCUGAAUUACAAUCAGAUUUCAGCAUUCAAUCUUUUUUCUUCUCAAAUAAUACCAAUCACAUUUCCAUUCCAUAAUUCACUUGACAAUAUUCAGAAACUUUCAAUCUUCUUAUUCAAAGAAAAUAACAAACAAAAGAAAAGAGGUAGCACCAAGCUUACCUCGGCUCACACUAUCACAGCGAUGGCCCUCGGCUCAUGACUAUCACAGUCUGGCCCUCGACUUACUACUCUCACAGUUUGGCCCUCGACUUACUACUCUCACAGUCUGGCCCUCGGCUCACAACUCUCACAGUCUGGUACCCUAAUUAACUUCUACAACCCCUAUAUACUUUCUCCUGAUUCUCCAGAUUCUAACCGUAAUUCUAUAAUUAACCACUUUUAAUAACUAAAUCACUCAUCCGUCUUUCUAAAUUUCCUAUUAUAUGGACUAUUAAUAUAUUUUGCCAAUAUCUUUCAAAAACGAAUUAAUAUCUAUUCUACAACCAUCAAAAUGGUUAUAUAAAAAUAGACUAUUAAUUAUGGUUUAAACAUUAAAAAUAUAUCAAUGAGAUAUAUGGACAAAAAAAGCUUGUUGUAGCUACAAAUAUAAUAAUCCAAAAGUUUGUAUAAUGACCUAAGCUCUAAGAGAAAAAAUUAUAAUUGGAGAUUAAGAAUCCAAUAGUAAUAGUAGUAAUGAAAAAGAUGAAGAUGGAAGUAGAGAACAACUUGGAUUGAUUAAUCUGAAAGAGUUAAAAGAAAAAAAAAUCCUAAGAAUAGGAGGAUGAAAGAAAGAUACAUAAGAAUGUAACUAGAGAAGUUAAAUAACUACAAAAAGAAAUAAAAAUUCUAAUAUUAGAGGCAAGUUUAUCUAAAAUAAUAAAAUAAAAUAUAAAGUAAAAAAGACUAAUAAAAAUAAGAAGAAAAAAGGAUUAAAAAAAAAAUAAGAAAAUUAAAAAGAUUAUACGAGAUGUAUUUUGAUAAACACAAGAAAAUAUUAUAAUAAGCCAAUUAUUAAAGUUAGUUCCAUAUUGCAAGAUUAUAGAGGUAUUUCUUUUUAUAUGCAUAUUGAUACCAAGCACAUUAAAAAUUUAUAAUCUUAGCAAUCAAGAUUAUGAUAUAAAAAUAUUUAUAAUUACUAAAAUAAAUUAAUCAUGAUAUUAUAUAAAAUAUAUUUUUAGAUAGUGGUUUAGAAAUGAAUAUCAUCACAAGUGAUUUGCAUAAAAAAUAAAAAUAUAAUUGGAUUGAACCAAUACUUUUUUCAAUCAAAAUAGUUGAUCAAUAAAAAGUAAUAUCAAUAGAUAUUAUUAGAAACUUAUAAAUUUAAAUAAGAUAUUUUACUUAAAACAUCACAUUAAUAGUUUUAAAAUUAGAGUCAAUUUUUCAAAAUUGUUCUAUGCUAUUAGCUUGACCAUGGCUUAAACAAACAAAGUCUAAGCAAUAUGAGACUCAAAAUAUUUUAAUUAUUUUUUCAAAUAAUAGAAAAAAAAAAGAUUAAUACAUAAAAUAUCUAUAUCUUCUACCAUCAAAAUAACCUAUGUAUUUAGAAUAUUAUAAUUAAAAAAGAUUUUUGAUUGAUAAAAAAGAAUAAAUGAUUUAUCAAGUAGUAUCCUUAUUACAUUCAAUAACUAAUGUUGAAUUAUUAGGAUUAAAAGAAAUAUUUAAUUAUAACCAUAAUUUUAUUAAAAUAAUAAAAUAAAAUAAUAUAAAAUCUAAAAAAAUAAUGAUAAAUAUAUAUAUAUAUAUAUAUAUAUAUAUAUGAACCAAAAACCAUAUGAGAAGAAAAAUUCAUCAAAUAUCUAGAUUAUUUCUAUGUAAUAAGAAAAGAGACAAGAUAGCUAGAUCUAGCUCUAGCAACAAAGACAAUCAAGAACAAAUUCAUCACCUUUUGGACCAUUAAUGAGAAAAAAUAAGUAAAUAAAGUAAAUUUGGAGAUUGAGAAUAAAUUAAGAAUAAUUAAGAUAGAAUGAUAGAAUGAUAAAAAAUAUAAGAAAAAAUAAAUAAAAUUAUUACAAAAAUACAAAGUUACUUUUGCAUAGGUGUAGAAUAUGUAAAUAAAAUUUGUGGUAAGUUACUGGUUGGUUAUUGACAACCUUGAAAAUUAGACUUAUGGUUAGGUAGUUUAGUUGGUAACAGUAGGUUGUUAGUAGAACAAAUGGUUAAGAAUUCAAAGGUUCAUAACCUUUAAAAUCUGCUAGCCAACGGUCCAUCUUUUGGUAGGAUAAAGAAGUUGAGAAAAGGGAGAUCAGGGCCAGACUAUGAGAGUCAUAAGUCAGGAUAAGCUUGGUGCUAUCUCUUUUUUUUCUUUACUUUUAUUAUUUGCUUAUGAAGAAUUGUGAUUGAGAGAAGUAUUGUUGAAACUAUGAUUAGAAUAUUAUGGAAUAUGACUUUGGAUUGACCGUUUUGGAAAAAAUCUAUGACCUUGAAAAUUGAGAUUAUCGAAUUGAGUUGUCUUAAGUGAGGAUAUUGAAUUCUAUGUGAUGAAUUGAGAAACUGAAUAUAAUAAGAAAGCUAGAGAUCAGUAAUUGAAUAUAUAUAAAUUGCAAAGAGAAUAAGUGGGAGAUGAACUCAUAAGAAUAUGAAAGUAUUGUUGAAUUGAUAGUCAUAGAAUGGAUUUUGUAUUGAAUUAAGACAAAAGUAGUAAGCCUUGGAGUUUUGUAGUUUGAUAAUUGAUUUCAGAUAGCCAGAGUACAGUCAAUUGUGACACUAAUAGACCCAAUUCAUAUAACCAGUCUUUCUCCAUGUUCAAAUCUACCUCUAUUAGUUCAAUUGCUUUGGUAUAUUGAAACUUGAACACAACGAGAACAAAAUUUUGAUGCUGCUGCCGGGGAAAUGAUAACAAUAUGAAAUAUUAGAAAUUGAUUGUAUGGGAGCUGGAAUUAUAUAUUGAAUGAGAACGUGAGAAGAACUAGUUUUAGGAUUACAAAUAUAUGAGUUAUAAUUGAAGGCAAUAUUGAAUUUGUAAAGAAGAAUGAAAGAUUAUGAGUGAUAAUCAUGAAGGGAAAGAUUAUCAAAGAAUUAAUCGAUAAGCAAAAGAAAGACAAGAAUAAUUAUUCAUAAGAAAUUUCCUAUAGGAAUGACAAAAAGGAAUUAUAGGUCCAAGUAAAACCAAAGGAAGAAAAAUUCAAAUUCAAAUAGCAAGGAGACCAAUGAUAACACCAAUGGCCGUAGGAGUGCCAAAAGUACCAAUUGUGGUAUAAAUAGGAGCAGUAGGAGACCGCACCACAAGUGUAGCAAUAUUACCUAGUUUUAGUGGUUGGCUGGGCUCUAAUCUUGAUCACCAUAUAUCUCAAUUCUUUACAAUUUACGUGGCUAAUAAUAGUAGAACUGAAGAUAUUUGGUUGAGAUGGUUGCGAAUAACUUUAAAAGAUAUAACUUUUGAAUGGUAUAAUGAGCAACUAGAGGGUAGAUUUUUCAAUUGGGAGGCCUUAAAGAAUGUCUUCAUAAUCCAUUUUAGACCAAUUGGAUUUGAAGAUCGGCUUAGAGAAAGUUUUAUGAAUAGCAGGUGAUUUGCGGGGGAAUCAGUAGAGUCCUAUUAUGGCCGGGUCGCGAAUAUACUUCGUAAAUGGCCAAAUAAUCAAAUGCCAGAUGCGUUUAUAUUGUCGAUAUUAAUCAAUGGUUUACAUCCACCAGAAAUAAAAAUAUUUGUAAUAGAGGCUCGAUCAGCUACGAUAGAGGCAUCGUUGGUACGAGCAAAGAUGUUGGAAGAAUGUCAUUAUGACCAAUUGUUAACAGUGGGGACCAUGAUGAUUCCAAGUUCAAGAAGCCAACAAAUACAAUUGAGAAAUGUGUCAAUGGAUAAUUAUCCACAAAUGGUUGACUCCAAUGUGAAGAAUGUUAUGUUGCAAAAAUCAAUUAAUGCUACCCCACUCCAAGCAAUAGUGCCAAUAACAAUGACAUCUUAUUUUACAUCACCAACCUAUCAAAAACCAAAGUUGUUCACAAAUGCAACUAUUAAAGAUUCAAAUGAAGCCUUGUUAUUAAAUCUAACAAAAAAGAUGGAAGAAUUGGCAGCGAAUCUAGCUAAGUAUAAGGAGAAACAACAUAAGCUUUCUAAUAUGAGACGUAAUGUAUGCUAUAAUAAUUGUAAAGGACAAGGUAAUUUUGAUACGGAAUGUCCAUCAUCAAGACAAACGGGUCUUCAAUGUACAUUUUGUGGAGAAAAGCACCCUACCCAAAAUUGUUGUCAUUUACAAAGGCAACAACAAUUAAAUAUCCAAAAUUUAAUAUAGCCAACUAAUUGGGAUGUUAAUCAAGUACAGAUUGGAAAUAUGGGUUGUUGUCACGGCCAUAAUCAUGUAAGCUAAUAAUUACAUAUAGAAAUAGGUAGAAGUAAGUAAAAGUAGAUAAAAGUAAGUUAAUUAUAUAAUAUUUAAUAUAAAAGCUUCCUAGAAACUUCCUAGACGCUGCUUUGACUUCAUAGGUGUCUUUAAUUGACUUUUUGGAUUAGAAACGUGGUCAACAAGUUGGCCAUGUGCCACACAUGUUGUUAGCUUGAAGAUCAAGCUAACUAUGUGGCCCACACGUAGAAAAACUUGCCUUGUAAGUCAAGGCAUGUGUCUUACAAAGUCAACACAUAUUGGAGGUCCUAUAGAACGUCGCCACGUAGCCCCUAGUUAGAUAGUAUAUAUAGAGACAAGAGUGUAGGCUUCUUCACUCUUGUCAACUCCUUUCUUGCUUCUAGUCCAGGUUCAAGAGUCUUUAGUUUCUUGUCUUGUGGCAAUAGCCAUUCCAGUUUCCUUUUAAUAUACCUACUUGUUUAUAUUUUGACUUAUUAUAUCGAGAUAGCCUUUUGGUGUAUAUUUUCCCUCAUCGAGUCUUUGUCCUUGACAGAUUGACAAGAGUACACUUACAAUAUCAGAGCUUUGUUUUUUCUUGAGUAAGAGUGGAUUACCCCUUUCUCUUGACAAGACAUAAGCGUAUUAGAAGUUUGCGGAUUACCCACUUCUAAACUGAUAUUGUUCUUAGUAUCUUCUUUGUUAUCAAGACUUUCUUUUCUUUUGUCUUGAGCAAUAUCAAACAAAUUUUUCUUCUUAGUGUCAUUAUGGCAGAACUUGUUGAAAUGAAGAGUGCAAUGGCACAAAUGCAAGAGCAAAUGAGGGAGUUAAUGCUUGCGAUGCAUCAACUCAAUUCACCAACACAUGAAAGAACAAGAAUAGCAGAAAGUGGAGAUAUAGAGAUGAUCGGAGCUGCUUCAACAUCUACAACAAAUCACAUUCCUUCUCCAAUUGUACAACACCCUAUAAGCAUUAGAGAACCAAGAAUUGCCUUACCUGAGAAAUUUGAUGGUACGAGAUCAAAGUUUCGAGGGUUCAUCAAUCAAGUACAAUUGGCAAUUGAACUUCAACCGCAAAGCUAUCCAACUCCAGGAUCACAAGUCAGGUUUAUUGGCACUCUACUUUCUGGUUCUGCAUUAUCGUGGUUUUCAUCUUUUCUUGAACAACGAAAUCCAAUAUUGGACAAUUUGGAAGCUUUUUUGGCAGAGUUUCGAUCUAUGUAUGGUGAACACGAUGCAACUCGUGUUGCAACAAAUAAGAUCCGAAUUCUGCGACAAGGAAAUCGUCCAGUAACAGUAUAUGCUUCACAAUUUCGACAACUUGCAAUUGACAUCAAGUGGGAUGAUGCUGCACUCAUCAGUCAAUUUCUUUAUGGAUUGCAAUACGAAGUAAAGAAAUUGAUGCUCAACUUACCUGAUCCUCAAACUUUGAGUCAAGCAAUCGAUUUUGCGGUAAAAUGUGAUAAUCGACUUUUUGAAUUUCGAUCUGAGAAUCAUUCACGGGAACCUCAACGUUAUUACUCAAUGGCAACAUCAACAUCUUUGCCAAACGUACAUUCGGAAGUAGAAGACAUGCAAAUUGACGCGUUACGUUUUAAACCCCUAACUGAGCAAGAAAAGAUUCGUCAUCGUCAAGAAGGAUUAUGUUUAUAUUGCGGAGAACCUAAACACACUGCUCAACAUUGUCCAAAGAAACGACGCAACUAUAAAAUGAGGGAUACGACGGUCAAAGAAGACAACAUGUCGGAAAACGGAUUCGUCCAGCUACAAUAGGGACCGUGCAGCUGGAACCUUGUACAAUUCCUAAUGAAGGUCCUAUCCUCUCCUCAGAACCCUCUCCUUGUUUUAUAAUAGACCUAUAUUUAGGACCUAAGAAUUACAAAGCCUCUGCUUUAUUAGAUUCGGGAGCCUCAGCAUGUUUUUUAGAUGAACAAUUUGUUAAAAGUCGUAAAAUAUCCUUUGUACAGAAACCUAAACCAGUACAUGUAGAAGUCAUAGAUGGUCGUCCCUUGUCUUCUGGAGAUGUCACUCAUGAAACUCAUCCUAUAAAAGUAACAAUAGACGGUCAUGAUAGCUACAUAGCUUUUAACAUAAUUAAAUCCCCGUCUAAUCCAGUUAUUUUAGGUUUAUCCUGGCUAGAAAAAUAUAACCCUCGAAUAGAUUGGAAUUCACGUAAACUUGACUUUUCCAAAAGCGUUAUUAAUAGUUCUACGAACCAAGUAAAAAAUUAUAAGUCUAGUACACUAAAACUCGUACUGAUAGGUGCAAAAGCAUUUAUACACGCAGCAAAAGAAGGAUCAACUUUUGCUAUUUAUGCUGCACCUAUUUCUGAAAACGUAAAGACUUCAAGUGGCAUUCCAAGUCAAUAUCAGGAGUAUCAAGACGUUUUUGAGAAAAAGAAUGCAGAUAUUCUUCCUGAGCAUCGCCCAUAUGAUUGUUCAAUCGACCUCAAGGAAGGAACUCUGCCACCAUUUGGACCAAUUUACAGUUUAUCGCAAGAUGAGAUGGCUGAACUCAAGACAUAUAUUGACGAGAAUUUAGCGAAGAAUUUCAUACGCCAUUCAAAAUCUCCAGCAGGAGCUCCAAUUCUAUUCGUAAAGAAAAAAGAUGGAUCUUUACGAAUGUGUGUUGAUUAUCGAGGACUCAACAAGAUCACAAUCAAGAACAGGUAUCCAUUACCUUUGAUAUCAGGACUCCUUGACCAGUUGAAUCAAGCUAAGAUCUAUACAAAAAUAGAUCUAAGAGGAGCAUAUAAUCUAGUACGGAUCAAAGAAGGAGAUGAAUGGAAGACUGCGUUUCGAACCAGGUAUGGAUAUUUCGAAUAUAAUGUCAUGCCCUUUGGACUCACGAAUGCACCAGCUGCUUUUCAACAUCUCAUGAAUGAUAUAUUUCGUGAAUUCUUAGACAAUUUUGUCGUCUGCUAUCUAGACGAUAUCCUGAUCUAUUCCAAGAACGUCGAAGAACAUGAAAUACAUGUUCGUCAAGUAAUUCAAAAACUCAGAGAUGCAGGAUUGUACGCCAAGAUGGAAAAGUGUGUAUUUCACACUACUCAAGUUGACUUUUUAGGAUACAUCAUUUCAAAUGAUGGUCUCAUGAUGGAUUCUAAGAAAGUCCAAACAAUCGUGGAUUGGAAGAUUCCAAGGACGGUAAGAGAUGUCCAAUGUUUCUUGGGAUUUGCCAAUUACUAUCGGAUCUUCAUCAAAGAUUUCUCACGAGUUGCAGCUCCACUUACACGCUUGACUAGUAAAGAUAAAUUUCAAUGGAAUCAAGAAGCGGAAGCAGCAUUUGAAGCCUUGAAGACAUCGUUUGUCUCUGCACCAGUCUUAUAUCGUGUUGACUUUUCCAAGGCAUUUUUUAUGGAAACAGAUGCAUCAGAUUUUGCCUUGGGUGCAGUUUUAUCACAAAUGAGAACAGAUGACAAACUCCAUCCGAUAGCUUUUCAUUCAAGAAAAUUCUCAGCAGCCGAGAUCAAUUAUGAGAUCCACGAUAAAGAACUUCUUGCGAUCGUGGAUUCCUUUCAAGAAUGGCGUCAUUAUCUAGAAGGCGCUUCUAGUCCAGUCACUGUGUAUACAGAUCACAAGAACCUCGAGUAUUUCAUGUCAGCACGCGUGUUGAAUCGUCGUCAAGCUCGUUGGAGUAUGUCUUUGUCAUGAUUCGAGUUCAUUAUCACUUAUCGACCAGGAAAACAACAAGGUUUAUCCGAUGCCCUAUCUAGACGUUCUUAUUUUGCACCAAAAGAAGGAGAUGCAGCUUUUGAGCAACAAAGAACGGUCCUCUUGAAACCGGAGCAAUUUCAUCUCCGAGCAAUGAAAUCAACAUUGACUGUUGAUUCAACUUUUCUCAAGCAAAUCCAGUCCAGUAUGUCCUCAGACCCUCUUGUUUAUGAUAUCGAGAAUAAUUCUUCCGAGUCUCAUGAUCCUUCUAAGUUUGAGUUCAAGAAUAAUCUAUUAUAUUUUGAAGGACGCCUAUAUGUUCCAGAAGGAGAAGCACGUUUAUGUGUUCUUCAAGCACGUCAUGACUUUCCAGCAGCAGGGCACUUUGGAUAUAAUAAGACUUUGGAACUCAUAUCAAGAGAUUUUUGGUGGCCACAAAUGUGGAAGUCAGUCAAAGACUUUGUACAAUCAUGUGAUAUUUGUUCAAGAUCAAAAAUUCCUCGACAUCGACCUUACGGACUUCUUCAGCCAUUACCUAUACCAGAACAACCAUGGUCUUCUGUUUCUAUGGAUUUCAUCAUAGAUCUUCCAAGCUCAAGAUCUUAUGAUUCUAUAUUUAUGAUAGUAGAUCGUUUCACCAAGAUGGCACAUUUUGUGCCAUGUACAAAAUCUAUCAUAGGUGAAGAAACAGCUAAGCUUUUCAUUGAUAAUAUCUAUCGCUAUCAUGGAUUACCUAAAGAUAUCAUAUCGGAUAGGGGAACUCAAUUUGUGUCAAGAUUUUGGAAGACCCUUUUCAAGAUUUUAAAAGUGGACAUAAAGCUAUCUUCGGCUUUCCAUCCUCAAACUGAUGGACAAACAGAGCGCGUAAACCAAGUCUUGGAGCAAUAUUUAAGGUGUACUAUCAACUACCAACAAGAUGAUUGGACAACCCUUCUGCCAUUGGCAGAGUUUGCUUAUAAUAAUACGGUACAUUCUUCCACGCAACAAACACCUUUCUUUGCCAAUUAUGGCUAUCAUCCACGACUUGAUACUUUUGAUUUUUCAAAAGUUGAUAAUCUUGCAGCAGAAGAUAUGGCAAAUCGGUUGUCAGAGUUACAUGCAAUAAUGAAGAUACAAUUGAAGGAAGCUCAAGAACGACAAAAAAUAAACGCAGAUCUAUAUCGUAAGGAGCAACCACAAAUCAACGUGGGUGAUAAGGUAUGGCUACUUCGUCGCAAUAUCAAGACUACUCGACCUUGUGACAAGUUGGACUAUCGUAGGCUUGGCCCCUUUUCUGUUUCUGAACAGAUCAACCCAGUUGCAUAUCGGUUACAUCUACCGGAGUCAAUGAAGAUCCAUCCUGUAUUCCACGUGUCUCUUCUUGAACCAUAUAAGACAGUAGAUAUACAAGGAAGAAGACAAAUGCCAUCGCCUCCUAUAGAAGUAGAUAAUAAUGAAGAAUUUGAGGUGGAAGAGAUAUUAGACUCAAGGCGGCGCCAAAAUAAGCUGGAAUAUCUUGUUCAUUGGCGCGGAUAUGAUAUUAGUGAACGCACAUGGGAGCCAUCCAGGAAUCUAGCAAAUGCAUCAGCUAAAGUCAAAGUUUUUCAUCAACGACAUCCAUCAAAACCAAGAUGAAAAUCUCUCUUAUAAAAGAGACAAGAUUGAGGCAAGAUAACAUUCAAUUUCCUAUCCUUGUUUGUAACUUCUUUACAUUUGUGAUGCUAAUUAGAUGGAGAGCCAACAACCAGCGGAUUCAACCCAAGAACCUUCGUUUGCUGACCUGCCGGACGAGACAUUACGAUUGUCACAACCUUCAAGACGACGCAAUCGAGAUGAAGAUCUUCAAGAACGACAUGUUCUUCCUCGAACAGAUGGUGAGAUACAACGCGUUUGGUAUCAUGAUUUGGGAAGGGACUCCCGAUGUUUGGUGAUUUUGCUAGAGGUAGGAACAACUCCUGAUGGUGUUCCGAAUAUUCUAUUUGAAGGAAGUUAUAAAGGCCUCAAUAAUGAUCAAAUAACUGGGUGGUCUUCCCGCCCUGGUAUGGGACACUACCGAUGGUUGAGAGGCCCUAUCAAUCAUCUUCGAAGAGAACAGAGAUCAGAGUAUGUGGCGAAUACAAUUCGUCGCAUCAUAGAUUUCCUCAACAUAUGAUGACCGCUCUUCGUGGAACUCGUCUCUAGAAGGGGGGGUAAUGUCACAGCCAUAAUCAUGUAAGCUAAUAAUUACAUAUAGAAAUAGGUAGAAGUAAGUAAAAGUAGAUAAAAGUAAGUUAAUUAUAUAAUAUUUAAUAUAGAAGCUUCCUAGAAACUUCCUAGACGCUGCUUUGACUUCAUAGGUGUCUUUAAUUGACUUUUUGGAUUAGAAACGUGGUCAACAAGUUGGCCAUGUGCCACACAUGUUGUUAGCUUGAAGAUCAAGCUAACUAUGUGGCCCACACGUAGAAAAACUUGCCUUGUAAGUCAAGGCAUGUGUCCUACAAAGUCAACACAUAUUGGAGGUCCUAUAGAAUGUCGCCACGUAGCCCCUAGUUAGAUAGUAUAUAUAGAGACAAGAGUGAAGGCUUCUUCACUCUUGUCAACUCCUUUCUUGCUUCUAGUCCAGGUUCAAGAGUCUUUAGUUUCUUGUCUUGUGGCAAUAGCCAUUCCAGUUUCCUUUUAAUAUACCUACUUGUUUAUAUUUUGACUUAUUAUAUCGAGAUAGCCUUUUGGUGUAUAUUUUUUCUCAUCGAGUCUUUGUCCUUGACAGUGGUUAGAAUAGUAAUUGUUCAAAUCAACCUAAUCAUGGCUUUGGAAAUUUUUAAAAUACUAAUUAUAAUCCGGUUCAUAGAACAAAUAUGCAGAACGGUGGAAAUAAUCAAGGGGAUAAUCCCAAACUAUACCAAUUCGGCAGUCCAAUUCUUGACCAAUAGCAACUGGUCAACUAGGAUCAUUUACUAUGACUACCUGGAAUCGGCCUAGUAGAUAUAUUCCAAUGGAGACUCUAAAUGUACUUGGCGAUAUGGACCAAAAACCACUACGUUGCUACCAGUAUUGGCAAAUUGGUCAUUAUGCCAGUGAAUGCCCUAAUCCAAGGUUUACAGACAAAUAUGCUCUACUAUGUGGAAAUUACAAGCAAUCGAGUUAUUUUCAUUAUCAAUGCAAUGUUCCAUUUAACCUUAAUAAUCAUGAUCAGAAGAUACAAUCAAUUGUGUAAAAUAUAGAAGAAAAAUAUAACAGGACACAGGAUUCACCAGUUCAUCGGGUAGAAGUAGUUCAAGCUAUCCUUACAAGAAGUCAACAAAAGGGGAAAGAACCAAUUCAACAUUUGGGUGAUUCUGAAGCAAAGGGCCAAUUGGAUCCAAUUACAGGGACAUCCAAUCCAGGUCCUGACAUGGGACCCUUACUCAAUAUAAGACCUGAAUUGGUUGUGCACCUUAAUGAGGUACUGAUUACGGAGGCUUCGAUUCCGUUUCAAGCUAUUCCGUUGUCGUACUGUAAUUACUUACAGUAUGUAAAAAUUAGUGAAAACAUGUAAUAUGUUUAUAAGUCUUAAUGUGAGUUAGAAUAGUAAGUAUGUUAAUUUAAAAUGAAUUGAAAUAAGAAAAAUUAUUUGGAAGUUAAUCUAGUUUGAUUAUAGAGUUUAUAUUAUAUAGGAUUUAGAUAGUUAGUAUAAAGAUUAAGGGAAGGGAGGAGUUAAAAGAUGAAAAUAUAACUAGAAGGAGGCUUAUUGGGAAGGAUGAAAGUAAGGCAUGGUUGGAUGAAGGCAAGGGGUGAAGAACUUCAUCCCUAUUGGUCGAAUACCAUGCCCAAUGGGAUUUGAGGAGGCUGCCCGAGGCCAUAUUAAGAAUUAGGGUUCCUCUUUCGAGGCCAUUCGAGCUUUUGAGGCUAGGGUCAGAAGGUUUAGGGUUUUGGGUAUAAUUUGGGUGAAGAUUUUGUGUGAUUUCGAGUUUUUAUGGAAAAGAUAUGAAUGUUCAAAGAUAAGGUGUCAAUUUCGUACCUACUGUCACUUCUUUUGGGCAUCACAUACGAAUACGGAGAGCAACGGAAGAUCGGCGACUGGAUUUGGAGGGAGCAUUUUCUCGGCUACACAUUCUACUUACUGUAUAGUGAAUUCUAAGAUUGGAUGAAGGAGUUAUGAGGCGUUGAAGACAGCACUUGUAAUUUGAAGGCAGUAAGUAUAUCGUUUUGUUGCUAGUUAUAGGUGAAGCCAUAUCUUGAGUUUUUGGACGAAUUUUUGGCUCAAAAUUUCCACAAGUGUGUGUAAUUGGGUUAAGAAGCUUUAUAUCAAAGUUUCAUAGUAUUUAAAUAAUUACUUUGUGAGAUAUGAAGGAAGUUGUACACGGGUGUAAAAAAGCUAGGGUUUGAAGCUACAGUUAGGAUUUUCAAGAUAUCACAAGAUCCAAGACGAAUUUACGGUUGAAUUUUGGUGUGGUAGUUGCUAAAGAUAUAUCAGUACUCCAUGUAAACUUUGGAGUUGUUUAGACGGUUAGAUCGUAAGUUAUGAGCUGUUGAACUUCGGGAAAAAUUCCUCAUAAGGAUAUAUAAGUUUUUUAUAACACCUUAUCAAGUAUUUUGGUGUUCUUUGGAUUUUAAGGCUUGUAUAUUGAUGUAAUUGCUCCAAAGGAGAGGAGUUUAUAUAUAUAAAAUUGUUAUCCUUAUAUUUCAAACUUGAUUGAGUAUUUAGUAACAGCCAGAAGCCCAGCGCUUUCUUGAGGCAAACUCUCUCUACCCCGACACCGUUCUCUAUAUAGUUUCGAAAAAUGUCUUUUUUGUUGAAAGAUCUUCUUAGAGGCAUGAAUUUCAAGGAACUAAUAUCAACCCAAUUAGAAAAAUAAUCUUACUCAUUGAAAGACCUGAUUUUACAGGCUUCGUCAAAUUUAGUUCCAGUAGCUUUAUCAAUUUUCAAUAUAGAGAAAACCUAUUCACCUGCGUCGGUGUCUAGGACUAGAAAGAAGAAAUGAACAUUAGAAAUGACCACUAAUACAGAACCAUAUGAUAUUCUAAAAGAUUUGGAUACCAUAUAACCCACGAUCUCUAUGAAGCAACUAUUGGCGGUAGUACCUAAGUGCCAAACUUUCUUGAAUUGAUAGAGUGUUAGUAUCGAGAGUGCAAGUAGAUGGAGGAUCUAGUAUAAAUCUUAUGAAUGUCGCUACAAUGGAGGAGUUGGAUUUGGAUCACUUAGUGCCUACUACAGUAGUUUUGAGAAUGGUUGACUCGAGUCGAGUUAAAACUAUGGAUAAGGUAAUGAUAAAAUUGUGCUUCAAAUGUAUCCUGUCGAAUAUCAUGCAGAAACUCAAGUUUCUAGUUCAAAAUUCACAUCGAAUUGUGAAGAUGAGUCUACAGAAGAAGAAAUUGGUAUACUUGACUCAAUUUAUGCUGAUACAAGGCUAAUUGUAGAGCACACUAGAAUGAAAUAUCAAUGCAAGGGACCGGGAGAGUACUUAGUUGUUUCAAAUGUUAUUGACGAUUCUGAUCAUAUGAUUACAUAUUAGAUGAAUAGACAGGAUGUUAAUCAGGUAAGUGCUAUAGAACUGGAGUUCGAAAGUUUUAAUGUGUCUGAUUUUAUGAAAGAUUCUAGAAUUGAGCAGAAUAUUAUUCUAGAGACUCCUGAAAUUCUACUAUGUCAACUAAUUAAUUAAGGUAUGGGAGAGGCUCCCCAAAUCAUUCAGAUUUAUGAUGGUAUAAAAAAUAAGGAAAAAAAAUUUAGGUGGAUUACUUCUUAAUGCAUAAAACUACUUUCACAUGCUCGUAUGUAGAUUUGAAACAAAUUCUAGCUAAAAUUUGUGUGCAUUAAAUUAUAUUGGAGGAGUAUUGAAGAACAAGUACUUUGAAGACACAACACUUAGCAUUAGCAAGGUUGCACACAAAGAGAGUAUGGAAUAAGAUGUCUCUCACUUCCAAUACCCAUUACUUAUAGAUAGUGGUUGCUGCCCUAAAAGACAACUUCUACUCUUUGAUUUUUACAUACAUGGCCCUAAGAUCCUUUUGGCAUCUCACGAGCCUUGAGGGUAUCGUAUGACACAUACUAAUAACUCAUACUUAAUCUUUGGAUAUUCCCUUAUUAAUACUUUAUCGUUUUGACUUUGACUCUUAGUCCAUGACUUCGUCCUAUAUCCAUUGGAUGCCUUUACCAUAUACCAAGAGUCAAAUCUUUGACCACUAGCAACUUACCUAAGUUAAUAUCCUCUAUAAGGUAAUUUAUUCUACUUUUACUUUAAUACUUUGACAUUGCUAUUGGUCAAAUGGCUUUUAAUCCUAAUGCCUUUGUCAACAUGUGGUGUCUAUCUUGUACUAAUACGUUUGUCAACAAAUCAGCAAGCAUUUCCUCCAUUGCAUAAUACUUCAUAUCAAUCACUCCCAUUUCAAUCUUCUCUCUUAUAAAGUGAUGUUGAAUGUCAAUGUGCUUGGUCCUUGAAUGAUGCUUUGGAUUCUUUAUAAAUGCAAGACAUCCUUGAUUGUCACACUCCAUUAGAGUUGCUUCUAUUUGCACAUCUCCAAUGUCCUCCAAAAGUUGUCUCAACCAUAUUGCCUCCAUUGCACCAUGGCUUGCUGCCAUGUACUCCGCUUCCAUUGUUGACCUUGCAAUGGUUGGUUGUCUCUUGCAAUUCCAUGAAAUUUCUCCCAUUCCAACAAAGAAUACAUAGCCUAUUGUUGAUCUUCUAUCAUUUGUAUUUCUAGCCCAAUCUACAUCACAAUAACUAUGCAAAUUAAUGUUAUCACCUCCAAGGCAUAAUUUGAAGUUCAAAGUGCCUUUUAAGUACCUCAUGAUCCUUUUGAUGGUUGCCCAAUGGAUUGGUCCAGCCUUUGACAUGUGUUGACUCAUAACACUUACCGCAUAUGCAAGAUCAACCCUUGUGCCAACUAUUGCAUACAUCAGUGAGCCCACUGUUGCCUUGUAUGGAACACCUUGCAUUUGACCUUCAAUUUCAGCAAACUCUUCAUCCGUGAGCUUCAUCAACUUCAAGUUUGCCUCCAAUAGUGUUCCAAUAGGCUUACACUCUUCCAUGUUGAAUUGUUUUAACACUUCUUCAAUGUACUUACUUUGGCUCAUUGUAAUGGUCUUCUUAUCACAAUCUCUUACAAACUCCACUCUUAAACAAUAGUGAAGCUCUUCCAAAUCACUCAUUUCAUACUCCUUUUCUAACUUUGCGUUCAACCAAUCCAUCAUCUUCAAUGUAUUGGUUAAGAUGAUUAAAUCAUCAACAUAGAGGAUGAAAAUCAAUAUGAACCUAUUUGAUUGCAUCAAAUAUAAGGAAUGAUCAGCCUCACUCCUUACAAAUCUUUCACUCACAAAGAAUGUAUCAAUGCGUUGGUACCAUGCCCUUGAUGAUUGCUUUAGUCUAUACAAGGAUUUCUUCAACUUACAAACAAGAUGUUGUUUGCUUUCUUCAACAAAUCCUUGAGAUUGCUCCAUGUAGAUAUCUUCUUUCAAACUUCCAUUCAAGAAAGCUGUCUUUACAUCCAUUUGAUGCAUCUCCAAGUCCAAUUCUGCCCCAAUUAACACAAUGGUUCUAAUGGUGGUGAAUUUGGCCACAAAAGCAAAUGUCUCAUUGAAAUCCAUACCAGCAACUUGUGAGUAGCCUUUAGCAAUCAAUCUAGAUUUGUAACUCAUAAUAUUACCCAUUGCAUCCCUUUUGAUUCUAAACACCCACUUACAACCAAUUGAAGAUCGAUUUGGUGGAAGUUGAGUCAAUUCCCAUAUUCUAUUGUCCAUGAGUGAUUUGUACUCUUUUUCCAUAGCAUUCUUCUACUUCAAUGCAUGCGUGGACUUCAUUGCAUCACAUAAACUCAAUGGAUCAGCAAGAAAUACAACAUUGGCAUGUUCUUCACUUACUUGAGGAAAGAUGUGGUCCUUCCACUAUUCACCAUGUGAUUUUCUUUCUCUCAAAGGAUAUCUCCUUUCAUUUGAAAAAGACCCUUCUUCUUGCAUUCCAUCCUUCUUCUUCUUCAAUGCUUGUCUUUUCUCACUCAAAGGUUGAUAUUCUUCAUCAUUAUCAUCACCUUCAAUAUCUUCAUUCUCUUCAUUGUUGGAUCUAGCAAUUGAAGGCAUACUAUGAUUUACCUUCUUUGGCACUUCAUCUUGAUUUCUAUUUCCUCCAUCUUCAUUGUCAUCAUCAUCUUCUUCUUCUUUUUUCUUUUCUGAACUUGAAGAUGUGUCCACAAACUCACCUUCACUUCUACUUGGAUACUCUUGCAAGUAUUCAAAAGCACUCUUAUGCUCCAAAAACUCUACAUCACGACUUUUGAUGAUCUUCUUGGUUUCUAAACACAUCAGCCUAUAUGCUUUGGUACCUUCACAAUAUCCAACAAAUACACAUUUUGUACCUUUUGUAUCAAAUUUCGACCUCAUACAAUCUAGUUACUUUGCAUAAGCAAUGCAUCCAAAAAUCUUCAUGUGUGAAACACAAGGUUUCUUCCCACUCCAAGCUUCUUGUGGAGUCAUUGAUGUAAGUGUACUUGUAAGGCACCUAUUUCUUAUGUACACCUCAUUUACCACAGCUUCUAUCCAAUACUCAUGCCCAAGGUUUUGUGUAUGAAGCAUACUCCUUGCCAUCUCCACAAUGGUGCGAUUUGCUCUUUCAGUAACUCUAUUUUGUAGUGGAGUGUAAGGAAUAGAGAUUUAUCUUGCGAUAUCUUGAAUCUUUAUGAAUUCAUCAAAAUGCUUUGACAUGUAUUCACUUCUAUUGUCCAUUCUCAACACUUUGAUCUUGCACUUACAUUGUUUUUCUAUAAGAGCCUUAAACUCCUUAAAUCUUGAGAAACAUUCACUUUUAGCUUUAAUGAUGUAAAUCCACACCUUUCUUGAAAAGUCAUCUAUGAAUGUGACAAAAUACCUUUCUCCUCCAAUUGAUGGUGUCUUCAUUGGUCCCCAAACAUCAAAGUGUACAAUCUCUAAUAAUUUUAUUGCAUGUAUUGUAACUCCACUUGAAAAUGAAGCCUUUUGUUGUUUGCCUUGUAUACAUCCUUCACAAGCAAGUGUCAUGGCAUUGUGGCUGAAUUAACCAAGAUCCAAGCCACUUACCAUAAAUUGGACCUACUUCAUGCAUUUGGCAUUCAAAUGACCAAGUUGUUGAUGCCAAAUUCCAAAUUUGUGUUGAUCUUGUGAAAAAUCAGCAAAUGCCACCACUUCAACUCCAUUCACCUUCUUGCAAUUGAUGAAGUAGAGAUUUCCAUCUUUAAGGCCUUUGACAACAUGUUAGCCAUCCAAUGUCUUGACAAAACAUCCAUUCAUAUCAAAUUAAACCUUAUAACCAUGUGAUACAAGUUUACUCACCGAAACGAGGUUCUUCUUCAUUUUUGGAACAUGUAGGACUUCCUUCAAUGUAAUCCUCUUGAUUUGGUCCUUUACAACAAUCUCUAACACAAUGGAACCAUAUCCAAUGGCUUGCACCAUACCAUUGUCUCCCAACUAUACUUUUAUUGUUGGAAUUUCUUCAUAAGUGUUAAAUGAAUACUUGUAUGGUGUCAUGUGCUUAGUAGCACCUGAAUCUAUAAUCCACUUCGAAAUAGAAGCCAUAGAGGCUCCUUCCCUUGCCAUGAAAGCAUACUCAUCUCCACCAAAAUUAUCACUAGCAUUUUUUGCAUUCUUUCUAUCUCCUUUUUUGGCCUUAUAGCAAUUUCUAGUAAAAUGACCUAAUUUUCUACAAAUAUAGUAAUUCCUCAUAUUACUUUUUGAAUUAUCACAUUGGUGAGAACAGCUACCUUUGCCUUGAAAAUAGAGCCAAAUCAUCACUUGCAAGCUCCUUUUCUUUCUUUUUGGUAACUUCAUGGGUAAGUCUUGAUGUGACAUAGUUCAUAGUAAGCUCCUUCAUGUUGAUGGACUCCAAUACCACAAUGAAGUAGUUGUAGGAUUCAGGAUGAUAAGAACAUUGUGUUGACAUUGCUCAUGAGCCUUCACAUCAGCAUUGUCACUUGGAACGUCUUCACUUUCAUCAACAAUGUCCGAAAGGUCUAAUGAAGCUAACAAGAGCUCCAUUUUUUUCUUCCAAUGGUAAAAGUUGUCACCUUUAAACUUUUCAAUCACUCUCAAGCUUUCACCUUCACUUGAAGCCAUGUUUGGGGAAGGGAUGUAUGAAAGAAAAUCAAAAAAAGAGAAGAUAGAACUCUCAAAAUCAACAAGAAGAUGUUGUUGCAUUAGAAACCCAAAAUUCCCUCUUUGUAAUUAUACAAGUGAUUUCACUCUUUGAUCACUCUCAACUUCACACAUAAGACUUCUCACAAGUCUUAUACUCUAUCUAAACCUCUUGCAUAAGCUUUGCUACUCUUCAAUUACUCCUCUAACGACACAAAAUACUUCUUAUAAUAAUAGAAGAAUCUCUUAUGAAGUUAAGUAUAUGAAAGUACAAAGUUAGAUCAUCAAUGAUAAAACUCAGCAAAGAAAUAUAAUAUUCAAGUUCUAAAAUAUCAUUAAAUAGAGUCUAACAACAACCAAGACUAUCAAUUCACUUAACAACAAGUAAGAAUAAAAACUACAUCAACAACUAGAUGCAUAAGAAGGGUGAAUCUGCAAGGUUGGACACAAAGAGAGUAUGGAAUAAGAUGUCUCUCACUUCCAAUAUCCAUUACUUAUAGGUAGUGGAUGCUACCCUAAAAGAUAACUUCCACUCUUUGACUUUUACACACAUGGUCCUAGGAUCCUUUUGGCAUCUCAUAAGCCUCGAGGGUAUCCUAUGACACAUACUAAUGACUCAUACUUAGUCUUUGGAUAUUUCCUUGUUAAUACUUUAUCCUUUUGAUUUUGACUCUUAGUCCAUGACUUCGUCCUAUAUCCAUUGGAUGUCCUUAUUAUAUACCAAGAGUCAAACCUUUGACCACUAGUAACUUACUUAAGUUAAUAUCCUCUAUAAAGUAACUUAUUCUACUUUUACUUUAACAAGGAGAAUUCUACACUAGUACAUCAAAGACAACAUCGACUUAAUCUAAAAUACUCACUUAUCGUAAAAGAAGAACUAUAUAAACUCUUGGAAGUUCAAUUUAACUAUCUAGUUCCUUUCAGUGUAUGGGUUUCAUCUAUUGUUAUGGUACCAAAAAAUAAUGAAAAAGUUCUCAUCUUUCAAGAUUUCUAAAAAUUAAAUGCGGCUAUCAAGAAGGAUUGUUUUUCUUUACCAUUCACAGAUAGUAUAUUGGAUGUUAUCGUUGGACAUAAAUAUUAUUCAUUUCUUGAUGGAUUUUCUGGUUAUAAUUAAGUUAAAAUUACAAAAGAAGACUAGUUAAAAACUACUUUUAUUACGAAUUAAGGGACCUUUGCCUAUAAAGUUAUGCCAUUUGGACUUUGUAAUGCACCAGCUACAUUUCAAAGGAUAAUGAUGCAAGCGUUCCAAGAUUAUCUACGAAUUUUAAUGGAAAUAUUUCUAGAUGAUUUUUGUACAUUUAGUACAAUAGUCAGGCAUUUAGAAUGUCUAGGUCUAUGUUUGAAUCAAUGUACCAAAUAUGGAAUUUCUUUAAAUUUAGAAAAGUACCAAUUUGGUCUGUCUUUUGAUAAACUUUUGGAUCAUAUAGUUUUGAUGGCAGGCAUUGCUAUAGAUCCAAAUAAAAUAAAGAUUAUAUUAGAAUUAAAGCAACCAGAUAUUCUUAUGUAUCUAAUUUUAUAUAAACAAGGCAAGGAUGGAGUUUUGCGAUGUUGUAUUUAUCAAACUGAAGUGAAUACUAUAUUGGAAGGUUGCCACUUAGACAGUUGUGGUGGACAUUUUGUGGAAGAUAACAUGGCUCAUAAAGCUUUACAAGCUGGUUGUUGGUGGCAAACAAUGCUUGCACAUGCCCACCAAUUUGUCCAUCAUUGUGAUCCACGUUAGAGAAUGGGUCGACCUAUUGGAACUUCAAUGCCAUUGGUACCAAUUUUGGCUCAAGCGCCUUUUGAAAAAUGGGGAAUUAGUUUUGUAGGACCAAUUACACUAGCCUCGAGAAAUGGACAAAAAUAGUAUAUACUGAUAGCAACGGAUUAUGUAACAAAAUGAGCUGAAGCCAUAGCUACAAAAACCGAUAGUACAAGUAUAGUAGCAAUUUUUUUAUAUGAAAAUAUUAUUACAUGGUUCGGUUGUCCAUGAGAAUUGGUUAGUGAUCAAAAAACUCAUUUUAUAAAUAGUAUAAUCAAAGCACUCACAGCUAAAUAUGAGAUAAAAUAUCUUACGACUACACCGUAUCACCCUAGAGUCAAUGGACAAACGGAAAAGACUAAUGGAAGUUUAUGUAAAAUCUUAACAAAAAUAAUUUCAAGAGUGGGAACAGAUUGAGACACUAAGUUGUUCAAAGCUUUAUGGGCAUACCGUACUGCAAAUAAAGUUACUACCAAUGCUACCCCUUUUCAAUUGGUUUUUGGCCAAGAAGCAAUAUUACCUAUUGAAUUGGAAGUCCAAAGUUUACAAAUUGCUAUAGAUAAUAGAUUGAGAGAUCAUGAUUCAUUACGGCACCAUUUAGAAGAAUUAGAAAAAUUGGAUGAAACUAAAGCCAAUGCAUUAAUGAUAAUGGAAACUAUACAAAAAUGAAGGAAAACUUAUUAUGAUAGUAAGCUUAGACCAAAGACUUUUAUGCCAAAUGAUUUGAUACUUCAUUAUGAUAGUCGAUUUAAAAAUUUUCUAAGAAAAUUUUAAGUUCGAUGGCAUGGGCUAUAUCGAGUUAUUGACGGAUUUCCAAAUGGUUCAAUACAAUUGGAAGAUUUUAUGGAUACUAAAUUUAUAACAUAGAUCAAUGGCAAUCAGCUUAAACUUUACUAUACAUAAAUCUGGGAUGGAUUUUUUGUUAUAAAAGGGGGGGGAUAAAUAAUGAUGAUGAUAGGAUAGUAAAUGUAAGGUGAUAAGAAGUGAGGAAUAUGGAUGGGAUUAGUGACUACGGUAGUAAAGCCUGUUUGUCAGACCUAGUUAGUAGGAUAUUUCAUCAUGAUAAAUUGUGGAAAAUAAGGGAGAGUCGACCCAAUUGAUUGAACCAUAGUAAGAAGUAGGAGGGGGGCACUUGAUAAGCAUCGUGUUUUCUUUUGUGUAAGCAACCGUUGUCGUAAUACAUGAAGUCUUGCUUGAAAAUGCUCCGGACACCUGAUUGUGGAAGGAAGAAUAAAAAUUGCAAUAAAAAAACUCUAAUUCUAAUAGAAUAUUAACAAUGCUCUAAUUAGACUAUAAUAAUGCUAAGCAAGUUUAAUCAAAUCCAAAAAAAUCUCAAAGAAAUUUCAAACAAACAAUAGGAAUUUUUAAAGAAAUAUUAGAAUGAACAAAAAUGUCAUUCAAAUACAUCUCAAUUCAAUCUUAAUUUAAUUGUAGUUAAAAUCCUAUUGAACUUCAUUCAAACUUUAAGCCAAAUUAAUUGAAUAUUAAAUCCUAAUAAAAUCCUAAACUCUAAAUCAAAUCCUACCAAACCCUAAACCAAAUCCUAAUCCAAAUCUUAAAUCCUAAACCAAAACCUAAUCAAAUCCUAAACCCUAAAUCAAA